UGUGGUGGUGGUGGUGGAGAGUAGACCGGAGGAGGCGGUGGUGGAGACUUGUAAUGGUAAGGUGGUGGUGGGUACUUCUUAGGUGGUGGUGGAGGAGAAGAAUAAGUGUAAUCUGCUGAGGUUUCAAAAGGCAAAUUGAGAGACACUGCUAAAACUAAAAGAGUGAGAAAGAGAGAGGUCAUUGAUGACCCCAUUUUCCCCAUCCUUACUUCUAAAAAUGGGUUUAAUUUGGUUAUGCUCUUAGCAGCCCUCUUCACUCCCUUUAUAUAGACUUUGUUUUAAAGUUACAAUCAUGAUAAAAGUGUGAAGGUGGACCGAACCUUCAGCAGCAUUGAAAAAAGACGUUACGUUUAGGUUAUUAGCAUGGUAUGACAUAAUAAUUCUCUAUUCUCUUCCUUGUCGUUUCCCAUAAAUUUAAUUUAAAUAGUCCAUUUGCUAUAUUUAUAUUUCUGUUUCUCUAUUAAAUAUUUAUCAAAUUCAUUUCUCACUCCUUAUAGAAUAUGAAUAAUUAAUCAUUAAACUCGAUUUAGUAAAUACUUUAAAAAAUGAUUUAUCUUAUUUUUAUGCUUUAAUUAAGGCAUCAAAUCAUUAAUCCCAUUUGAUAUUAUGAAAAUUUAUCACUUAAUUGAUCAAAAUGUGAUUCUUGGCAGGAAAACAUAAUUUACUUUCCUUAAAAUGUAAUUUUUAUUGAGAGUUAUUUUUCCACUAACAAUAGAAAGUGAUUCUCUUUAUAAUUCGUGAAAAAAUUACUUUCACAUGUAAAUAAAAAUUGUUAGGAUAAAAUUAACUUUUCUUUUAUUUAUGUUAAGGUUACUAAUUAACUUAUUCAACUUUAAUAAAAGAUAAACAUAGUUGUAGCUUGUUUGUUGAUGUUAGUUUUUUGUCUUUACAACUUCAAACCAUUAUUCUAGUGUAAUUUUUUUUUCUUUCUAAAUAGUAGAUAAGUAUCUAUAUUUUAUUUUGCUAUAAGAAAAUUAUAUUUUUUAGCAUACAAAACUUAAGAUAACUUGUAGAAUCAAGUAGUUGUAUACCUAUUACUCUAGCAAUAAUAAUAUUGACAUUGUCUACUUUCAAAUUAAAAUUUCAAAUUAGUUCAUUGCCCAAUUUUCUCAUUAAAAAAAAUUAUAUAUAACAUGUCAACUUAACGAAACUUACAUGAAAUUUUGUAUGUGUUAAAAAUGAAAAAUAUGGCGGUUAUUAAAAAAGAUGUCAUACAUCUAAAUCAAACUACUAAUUUAAAAAUUAGUAUUGAGAUAAUUUCAAGCCAUAUAUGCAAUAUUUGAGUAUACUUGAACUUAUACAUACAAAUUAGUGAGGAUUAAAAUUUUGUAAAUUGUACAUCUUCACAAUCUUGCGUUAAUAUACAAUUUUUUUAAUGUAUUAAUAUAAUGUUUUAGAUCAAGACGUGAAAAAACAUAAUUCAAAUAUUUGUUAAUAGUAAAAAAUUAUUAAUAAAUAUUUAAUUCAAAAUUUAUUAAUAAUAAAAAUUAUUGAAAAAUAUUAAAUACGUUAAUAUUAUUUUUAUUUAAUAAUGAUACUUUUGUACAGUAAUCUUAUAUUCCCAAAUAAGUGUUAAAUGUGUCAAGAUUUUAAUCAAUACUUUCCGGUGAUUACCAAACGUUGUGAAGUAACUUCUUAAACAAUAAUAUUCUUAUCAAUCACAUUCCAUUAAAAUUUUAACAUAGAAAAGCACCAAAACGCCCCCUUAAAAUCGUGGUAAGUCUUGUUUGUCUAAAAUUUAAAUAUUUAUUUUAUUAUUUAAAAUAUAUUAAUUUUCUAAAAAAAAUCAUUAAUAUUUAUAUUUCUAAUUUUAAACAUUCUUUUGUUAAUUAAAUGAUAGUCUAAACGGUUAAACUCAAAUCGAAAGCAUUUUAUCUUAUAUUAGAUUAUAUGAAUCAUAUUAUGGUUGAAAGUAAAAUGUAUAAAAUCAAUACAAACAUCAAAUAUUAAACUUCCACUCAAUAGAUUUUAAAAUUUCUAAUUUUAUCACUAAUCUAUUUUAAGAUUUUUUUAAAAAAAAUCGUACUUUAGAUUAUCUAAUUUAAAAUUUUAUAAAAUUAUUAAAAAAUAUUCUUGUAAUAAAAAAAAUUUGUUUUAAAAUUUUUAAUUUUUUAUAUAACCAAUGAAUUUUUUACGUUUGUUUUAACUGGUUAUCUAAACAAAAUAAAAACUUAUUUAGUUUAAAUAAAGUGGUAAAUGUGAAAGCACCACAAAUCACAACUACAUUAGUUUUAUAAUUGGAUUAAUUUAAUCACCGGCAGAGGAAAUGUGUUAGUUCUAGCUACCAACAAUUCAUUUUAAUUCCUUUAAAAAUAUUAGAAAAAACCAAUUUGAUUUUUAAUAAUAGAUCUAAUUACUUAAAGGAACAUGGGUGAUGUGCACAUGGCAUACAAGCAUAAAAAAGAACAAAAAGAUUAAGUAUCUUUGCAAAAUAUCUCUCUCUGAAAUAAAUAAAACUUAAAAAAAAACAAUUUUAUUAUCAAAAUAAAAAGAAAAUAGUGUUUUUCUUCACAAAAAAAGAAAAGAAAAGAAAUACUAGUGUUUUUAAUUAAAAUAGAGUGAUCUGGGUAGAAUCUUUUACUUAAAUACUGACAUUGACUUUAUAAGCUAUUUUUUAUCAAAAGAAGAAAGAGAAAAGCAUCCGAUUGAAGAUGUGAAUUAUUAAGUUAAAAUUAAUCAUACAUGUAAAAUAUUAUUGUGCUUUUUUCUAGCCCUCCGAAAGACAUUAUGCUUUGAUUACAACAUUCUUCCUCAGAGAUGAGGUUUGAAGAUGAACUCGGAUGCAUUUAGAUUUUUACAAGACGAAAGUAAAUUAAAGGAUGUUAGUACUUGUAUUCCGAUACGCUUAUAAUACAGAAAGCAAGUAAUAUGUGACUGUACAUAAUGGCUAUGAGGCGAGGAUAUGAUACGAGAAGAUAGAGAUGAGAGAUUGCACUUAAGGGGUUAGCACCUCUUUUCUUUUUGUGUUUGGUCCCCAAAGCAUAUCUCUUAUUGGCUGAUGUUGCAAGGCGGUCCCAUAAGUUGGGCUAAAAGUGCUUGAUAGCUAGAAUUAAUAUUGUGGUAUAACAUAUGUCACCCCUAUAUUUGAAUAAGGUUACAAAGUGACUACUUGAAGAUUUAAAAAAGCAUGGAGAUAAUUUUGUUGCGAAAAUUAAAAGUAAGAGCUAAAUUGUUUGGCUUUAUUAGAGUAUAGACUCUGUUAGUCUAUUAUCAUUUUGUUAUAUAGGCUGGAAUAUUAUUAGUAAGCAGUUAGCAGCAGUUAGUCAUACAAGUAUAAAUUCUAUUCAUGUAUUGUUCAAAGAUAAGCUAAUAAUACCAGAAGAGAUUUAACAUGUUCAUUCUACUUUUUUUUGUUAUUCUUCAUAAUACAGUUGUUAACAUGGUCUCAGUCGCCAAAUUUCUUGGAGGUUGCUUCUAUUGUAGAUCCAUGGCCAAUUCCACUGAUUCUACCUUCGCUGGUCGUAGCAGUCCCUCAUUCUCAGUUCAUGUUUGGUUCAAUCGUUUCCUCGUCAUGGCACUGUGAAGUUAGAUGAAGGAAAUUUUGUACAAUGGCAACAGCAUAUCCAAUUGAUAAUUGAAGGAUAUGAACUCAUAAGAUUUUUAGAAGGGACGUUACCUGCUCCGCCUCGCUUUGUGUCAUCUCCGGAUGGAAACUUAGCUCUGACUCCCGAUGCAUCCCUGUUUGUUCAGCAAGAUAAGUUACUCGCUUAUUGGUUACUUUUUACGAUUAGUGCUCCUUUGUUUUCUUGUUUUACAACUGCUAAGACGGCGUGUGAGGUUUGGAGCACUGCGAAUUGCCUAUUUGCUGCUGCCACUAGAGCCAAGCUUUCGCGUAUUAAGCAUGAACUCCAGUCCAUCACGAAAGGCGUGAUGACUAUCAAAGAGUAUAUUGCUAAGAUUCAAAAUACUUGUGCGUUACUCGAGGAAUCUAGAUCAGUGGUUUUAAAGGCUGAAAAGGUAGAGAUCAUUCUUGCCGGCCUAUUGUCUGAUUAUGAUGUCGUUUUAACUCUGGCAUCGUUCUCAACUGAAACUUUUUCGUUAUAAAAGAUUGUUGAUAUGCUUCUGGAGUUCGAAAGCCAUCAGACUCAAGCGGUGAACGACGUACCUUUUCAUGCUCAUUUGGUAGAGGCCACUUCGGCGACAUCCGUGGAGGACUCCGUACGUGGUGGUCGUCCUCCUUCUGGUGCUCGUAGGCGCGACUUUCGAUCUCAGCUUCAGUGCCAGGACUAUGGUUGCUAUGGACAUUUGGUACAAUGCUGUUAUUAUCAGUUCAACCGCGACUACAGUGAUCUGUCUGUUUUGACCAUGGCGCGGGUUUCGCCUGUUCAUGCUGAUCACAAUUAGCAUAACGAUGUUUUUGGCGCAAGUGGUCUCUCGACUAGCUGGUUUUCAUCAACUUGUCCUGGUCCGGACCCGUUCGUGCCUGGACAGUAUGUCGAUUCUUUGGUGGUGACACCGGCGUAUUUCUCUUAUGGCUCAUCAUGGUGAGGGUGGCCACAUUUGCAAAACAAUGCCUCCCUUGUGCCAAGUUUGUUGAAUGUUAAGGUUUCUAACCCUUUUGCUCAUAAUUUUGACGAUGGGGCAGGCUAGGUGUUUGGGCUCGCUGUUGGACCAAGCUCAAAUUGUGGCCAAUUUGGUGGUCCUCACUUACCGCGGAGAAUGGGCCAGCACGUUAGGCCAUUUGCUAGUGUUCCUAGGCCGACUGGUUCAGGCCAAGAUUUUGGGCCAUAUGGAAUUCGUAGGCUAACCAGUGCUGGUCCUAACAUUGGACAGGGUUCACUUGGGCCAAAUGUUAAUUUUGUUAGACUUGAGGGCUCUUUUGGGCAUGGACAAGGACUUUGGCCCACCACUGGCAAUGUUUCAGUGCCAAAUAAUGGGUCAUGCGUUCCAUGGCGCACUAAACUGACGGCGCACAUUAUUGAUUGAUUUCUCACUGUGUGUUGGGUUGCCUCACAUUCUUGAUUUUCAUGUGUCUGAUAUUUUUACUACCUCUGGGUCCAAUGCUAACACGACUCCGUAUGGGUCUAAUUUUGAUAAUGAUAACUCUUACAUUCCUAUGCCUGUAGGGACCUUGUCCUGGUGUCUUAAUUCAGGGUCUAUACAUCAUGUCUAUCGAGAAGCCUCUACCUUGAACGAGUCUACGCCAUACUCAGGUACAUCUCCUCUCCUCAUGGAUGAUAUUACUCCUACAAAAAUAUCAUGUGUUGGAAACUCUAUCUUGCCUACGAAGACUAAGCUGUUUCAUCUAUCUAAUGUUUUGUGUGUGCCAAAUAUACGGAAGAAUCUGCUAUCUGUCUCUCAAUUUGCUAAUGACAAUAAUAUGGUCUUUGAAUUUCACCCGUCUUAUUGAGGACAUCCAGACUCAGGAAAUUUUGCUUCGGGGCCACACUCGUGAUGGGCUCUAUUAUUUUUCGUAGGUUACUCAUGUUCCGUCUGUCGUUGUUCCUUCUGUUCACAACACUGGGCUCCAGAGUCGCAAUGCCGGUGAUGAUGUUUUUACGUUAUGGCACUACAGACUUGGUCAUCCGUCUGCCUCGAUUGUUAAACUUGUUCUCGAUAAGUGUCAAGUUGUUUCAACUAAAAUGUACCUUGAAAAUAUUUGUAUUGCUUGUCAAAAGGGGAAGUCCCAUAAACUGUCUUUUUCAAGUUCUACUACUAAAUAUACGGAUUUGUUUGAAUUGGUUGUCUUUGACUUAUGUGGACUGGCAUCUGUUGUCUGUAGAAAUAAUCUGUAUCAUGUUUCGUUUAUCGACAUGUGUAGUUAUUUUACUUGGAUUUAUCUCAUUAAACGUAAUUCUAAGGAGGUUGAAUGUUUUCUUCAGUUUCAGAAAAUGGUCAAAACUCAGUUUGGGAAAGAUAUUAAAAAAAUUCAAAGUGAUUGGGGUGGUGAGUUUCUUGCCUUUACGUCAGUUCUGGCUAGUCAUGGGAUACUUCAUCACCUCUCCUGUCCAUAUACAUCCGAGUAGAACGAUGUAGCUGAACGAAAACAUCGACACAUUGUUGAGAUGAGUCUUAUUCUAUUGGCCAAAGCUAACCUAUCCAUGGAUUUCUGUGGUUUCGUAUUUUACAAUGCCAUUCAUCUCAUUAGUCUUCUACCGACCCUAGUUCUGAAAGGUCAGUCUCCAUAUCAGGUUCUUCAUGGUAGUGACCCUACAUAUGAUCAUUUACAAGUAUUUAAGUGUUGUUGAUUUUCGUACCUGCGUCUGUUUCUGCAACACAAGUUGGAUUUUCAUUCUCAGCCAUGCAUAUUUUUUAGGUAUAGUUCUCAACAUAAAGGCUAUCACUGCCUCACACCAAAUGGUAAGGUCAUUGUCUCUCGUCAUGUUGUGUUUGAUGAACGUUGGUUUUUCUUUUCUUCAAAUGCUGUGAACACCGUUCAGUUAAGUCCAUGUAUCUCUACAUAUGUUCCUAUUGUUCGGUCUUCAUCUUGCCGCCCCACGACAUCUUCGCUUGUUCGACCCACUGAGUCAUCGACUCUUGCUCCUAAUUGUAGUUCCACGCUGUCUGUUUCAGUUGACACUCCGGCUGAAUUAGGUUUUACUCAUGAGGUGCAUCGGCUCUCUACCUCAUCCCUUGAAUCUCGUCAAUGCGAUCCAACUACAAUUCCAUUGGCUGUUCCAUCUAUUUCUCUGGAAUACUCAUAACACUAUUACUCAGCUAGACCCAAAGCUCUGUCUGUUGAAAUUGUCAACUGUGAGUCGAUCACGAUUGAAGAGGCGCUCGCUAGUAAGGAAUGGCAAUUAGUUGUCCAAGCUGAGUUUGUUGCUAUAAUGGUUAACUCCACUUGGGAGCUUGUUCCCUUACCUCAUGGUCGAAAAGUGAUUAGGUGUAAGUGGCUUUUUAAAAUAAAAAAAUCCUGAUGGGACUAUCACUUGACGUAAGGCUCGGUUGGAAGCAAAGGGUUGUUCUCAGGUACUCAGGUGUGAUUUCAAGGAAACCUUUAGUUUGGUAGUUAAACCUGCUACUAUUAGAACCAUAUUAUCUGUUGCUAUCUCCAACGGUUGGCAAUUUGGUCAGGUAGAUGUGAACAAUGCUUUUUUAAAUGGUGAUCUUAUUGACGAAGUGUUCAUGCAGCAACCUCUAGGCUAUGUUCAGAUUGGUCAAAAUGGUGAGCCCUUGGUGUAUCAUUUGACAAAGGUGUUGUACAGAUUAAGACAAGCUCCACGUGCUUGGUUUGAUAAAUUGAAACGUUUUUUUGUUUCUAUUGGAUUUGCUUUAUCCAAAUCUGAUGUAUCCUUAUUUGUUCAAGUUAAUUCGAAUCCACUAUUUAUGUUUUAGUCUAUAUGGAUGAUAUUAUCGUUACUAGAAGUACGAUCGACGGUAUAAAUGGCUGUAUUCAAUAGUUACAUAAUGUGUUUCCCUUAAAGAUAUGGGAGAUCUUUACUACUUCUUAGGCAUUGAAGUCACUCGGUAGUCCACUGGGAGUCUCCAUUUGUGCCAACGCAAAUACAUUCGGGAUCUUCUUGACAGUAGUUUUUUAGCUAAUGCAAAGAGUGUUCACACACCGAUGGUUAGUUCUUUUACGUUGUUUAAAGAUGUGGGAGAUCGCCUCGUUGAUCCUACUGGAUAUAGAAGUCUUGUCGGUGUAUUACAAUAUGUGGUCUUGACUCUGCCUGAUAUUGCUUAUGCUAUAAAUCAUGUUUGUCAAUUCAUGCAUGCCCCUACUACAGUACAUUUGGUGGCUUUGAAAAGAAUCUUGCACUAUUUAUGUGACACUAUUAAUCAUGGGUUAAUUUUGUCUGUUCAACAUAUUGUCUUUAGUUGGCUAUGCUAAUGCCAACUGGGGACUGGAUUUUGAUGAUCGUAAAUCAACAACAAGCUAUUGUUUGUAUUUUGGGUAUACACCCAUCUCUUGGUGAUCUAAGAGACAACUCUACUGCGUGAGGCGAAGUAUUUUGGCCGCACCAUGGCUGAGGUGAAGUAUCGAAGUCUAGCAACAACUACCAGUGAUGUUACUUGGUUAGUCUCUCUACUAACAAAAUUACAGAUUCAUUCUAUAGAUCCACAUACUAUUUGGCGUGACAACUCUAAUGCAGUAGCGGUCAUUGCUAAUCCGGUCUGACACUCUAAAUUUAAACAUGCCAAGCUUGAUCUAUUUUUUGUUCGCGAAAAGGUCGCUAAUGGUUCUCUCGUUGUCGGUGAGAUUCUAGCAUGUGAUUAAGUUGCUGACAUUCUCACAAAACCACUGUUCGUCUCUACUUUUGCUAGGUUUCGUAGUCUGCUUCAAUUCUUACCUCUUGAGAAGCUGGGUGAAGCCAGGUGAAUAUUAGAGUAUAGACUCUGUUAGUCUGUUACCAUUUUGUUAUUCAGGCUGGAAUAUUGUUAGUAAGCAGUUAGUCAUAGCAGUUAGUCAUACAAUUAUAAAUUCUAUUCAUGUAUUGUUCAAAGGUAAGCUAAUAAUACCAAAAGAGAUUUAAUGUGCUCAUUCUACUUUCUUUGUUAUUCUUCAUAAUACAGUUGUUAACAUGCUUGAUAUCAUCUCUUAGAGAGAACGAGGAGAGAUAAGAGUAAGAGUAUGAGCCAACUAGGGAUAAGGCUCUACCAUAAUACCUUGGAUGCAAUUAAAGUAAGAGUAAGAGCCAACUUGUUUGGCUUGAUAGCAUCCCCUUAUAGAAAAGGCUCUACCGCAUGGCAUGAGAGCAAUAAAAGUAACACUCAAUUUCUUGGGUUGAUAGCAUCUCCUUAGGGAAAAGGGUUUACCAUGUGACAUGAAAGCAAUUAAAGUAAGAGUAAGAUCCAACUUGUUUGUCUUAAUAGCAUCAUUUAAGAGAAAUAUCCCAAUCAAUUUAUUCAAAUAUGUUAAUCAAAUAAUGCAAGUUACAAUGUUCUGUCAGUUUUUCCUUUAAUUGUAACUGGGUUAAAGUUGGUAGUUGUAACUGCUACUAAUAGAAUGGAUACGGUAGAAAUGGUUGCAAGCAACAUAAGCAAAGAUGACUUUAAUGUCUUUGUAUUGACCACGUGAGAACUAUAGAAUGCAGAGAAUAGUAUGGUGAUUGGCAACAGAAUGCUACUAACCUUGAGGAUAGUAGACAGGGAUGGAUCCACGGGGGUUGGGGGCGGUCCCCCCUUGGAAUUUUUAAAAUUUUAAAUUUUAUAUAUAAAUUAUCAUGUAUUUUAAAUUUGGUGUCCACAUUGUAUAGCAUUCACCCCCCUUUUCCAAAUUGCAUUUCAUAUCAUUUGCCCUCUUAAGCCAUAAGGUUAUACUUUAUAUUAACAAAGUAUUUUCCAUUUUUUAAUUAUAUAAAUUUAAUAAUAAUAAUAAUAAUCAAAUAUUAAUAUAUGAUUGGCAUUGAAAGACUAAACAUAAAGGUCCAGUUGAGACUUUAAAGCCAAAUUCCAUAAUUAAUUAAUUGAUUUGGCCCAUACCAGUACAUAUUAGGUUAGCGAAAUUCUUGUAUUUUGAUUUGUAUGUCUUGCUAAGGAAUUAUCUUCCUUUGGUAAGGUGUUGACACUGCCAAGAGAAAAAGAAAGGAUUUUGAUGUCGAGAUUGUGAGCAUAGAGUAAAAAAAAUACAAAUUAUCUUCCUCUUAGCUCCUUAUGGAAAAAACCUCUCGGUAAAUAUUUUUGCAUAAAUUAUGUUUUUUAUUAAUUUGACUUAGUUUUUUUCUUUUUUCCUAAUACAUUGUUGUUUAAUAUAUUCUUACAAUCAUCAGGUUUUUUGACUAAAUUAUGGUCAAUAAAAACAUCGAAUCUAUUUAAAAAAAAAGAGUGUCAGAAAGCAAUAAUGAUCAACCGGUUCCUCAACCUUCCAUUAUUAGUGAAGAAAAAUCAAAUAUCGGAUCUUCCAAAGCUCUUGAACAAAAUAUCAGGUCUUCUUAAGCCCAAGCUCCUAAAUGCGGUAUGGAGUCUUCCCCAACUCCUGAACGAGAUUGUAACAAUCCAUACCCAAUUCGAUCACCAAAUCCAAGUAGAGAGCGCCGCAACUUAAACCAUAUGAAUUGAAUAAUAAAUAUUUGAAAUUUAUUAAAGUAUCGAGUUCUUGGUGUAACCCUCAGUAUAACAAUACGAAACAAUUAAAUCAAUGAUACGCCAGGAAAAAAUGUUUUUAGGCAAAACACAUGGCGGAAGCCUUACAAAAUUUUAUAAGUUUAUAUAAAAUGUAAGAUGAGUUAAUCCCAUACAACAGUUUCAAGUGCAUCGUUGGCGGUUAAAAGAACAUUCAAAAACUAUUCGGCGUAUAUGCCAAUGAGACAAUCACGUGGAACAAGAUAUAGUAGCUUAAACACAUACAUCACUUACCACGUCAUCAUAACAUAUACUAACCAUAUAAACAAACUUAUCGAGCUGCGAACUAACAAGUUCACCCAAACAUCUAGGGUUAGCGAUAACUUAUUAGAAGAGCCCGCCAAACCCUAGAGUUCGCCAAAACCUGGAGUUCACCAAAUGGCGACUCCCAUAGAAUACGCCAAACACACAACCAAAAAUAAAUACUCUACUAAUUUACUCAUUUUAUAUUCUUAGCAUAAACAACUAUGCACCAAACAGUAACUUGAUACAUUAUCUUUCGGGCGAGUUGUUACAAUUCUCCCCCAUUUAGAAACUUUUGUCCUUGAAAUUCUUACCGGUGAAUAACUGAGGAUAUUGUUCUUUCAUCGAACUCUCUCUUUCCCAAAUGGCUUCUUUUGUAUUGUGAUUUAUCUAUAAUACAUUAACCAAAGGAAUUCUUUUACUUCUCAACUCUUUUACUUCCCUUGCUAAAAUACAAACAGGUUCUUCUUCAUAGGACAAGUUUUGCUCCACUUCCAGUGCUUUGACUUGUACCACAUAAUCUGGAUUGGAUUGAUAUUUUCUUAACAUAGAUAUAUUAAACACAUUAUGUAUAUUUGAUAACUCUGGUGGCAACACCAGUUUGUAUGCCACUGGACCAACUUAUUCCAAAAUCUCAUAUGGUUCUAUGAAAUGCAGACUUAAUUUCCCUUUUUGUUCAAACCUUAUGAUCUUCUUCCAAAGAGAAAACUUCAUAAAUGCAUUGUCACCCACUUCGAAAGAGAUUAUUUUCCUUUUUAGAUCAGCAUAAGCUUUCUGGCGAUCUUAAGUUACUUUCAGAUGAUUUCUAAUGAUAAAGACUUUCUCUUCUGUUUCUCAUACUAAAUCAAGACCAACUAUUUUCCUUUUACUGAGUCUCAUCCAAUAGGUAGGAGAUCUGCACCUUCGUCUAUACAAAGCUCCAAAUGGUAACAUUCCCAGACUGUCAUAAUAACUAUUAUUAUACGCAAACUCUAGCAAAGGAAGAUAUCUUUCUCAAUUCAUUCUAAAAUCUAUAAUACAACCUCUAAACAUGUCUUCUAGAACUUGAAAUACUCUUUCAAAUUGCUCAUCGAAUUAGGGAUGAAAGGUAGUACAGAAUCAUUAUUUCGUUCCCAACGAUUCUUGCAGUUGUCUCCAAAAUCUCAAUGUAAACAUUGGGUCUCGAUCUGAAACUAUGGAUGUUGGAAUCCCAUGAGGCGUACAACUUCAGAAACGUAGAGAUUAGCCAACUUUUCCAAUAAGUAAUUUGUGCGGACAAACAAGAUAUGGGCUAACUUAGUAAGUCGAUCUACAAUUACCUAGACUGAGUACUUCUUCGAAAGGAUGAGAGGGAGAGCCAAAACAAAAUCCAUGGUGAUCUUAUCCCACUUCCACAUAGAUAUCUCUAAAAGGUACAACUUGCCUAAGGGAACCUGAUGUUCUAUUUUAAUCUGCUGACAUGUCAAACAAAUGGAAAUGUACUUUGUUAUUUCUUUCUUCAUUUCAAGUCAGUAAUACAAACUUAUCAAAUUAUGAUACAUUUUAUGUAAAACUCUCAACCCAACUCGAAAUGUCGAGUCUGGAUCUCGGGUAUUACUAUACAUAAUACUUGGCAAAAUAUCAAAAUAGUUGACAAAUACUCUUUAUAGAAAACAUUUUCUUAUUAUUUUAACCAAAAGACUAAAUAUUUAAUAACAAGAGAAAAUAUUAAAAACAAAAAAAAAUUAUUACAUCAGACUUGGUACAACUCAUUAUAGUAUAAAAUUUUGUUAAAGACAUACUCUUGGGGCAUAACCCUAAUCUAAGCCACUUUUCCACUAUAUGCAUAAUAACCCACUUCGCCACUAUCUUGGCGUACUCCUAGCAUCGUCACUCCUAAUGCAUUCUCUACCCAUACACCUGAAAACAACAACAUUUUAAGCUUAAGAUAACUUAGUGACUUUUAUCCCAAAAAUACCUUGGCGAGUACUUUAUAUUAUUUGAAGAACAUUUGUGCGCCAUCUAUCCUUCUGAACCACCUUCUUCUGAAUUAAGUGGAUACUAUUAUAGAUUCAACUUUCACUUACACGCCAACUAUCAUACUCUUAACAAACUCACUUAUUCUAGAAUAGUUGUUCACAUAUAUUAAUCACUAAUUGAUACAUUCAUAUUUGGCGAAUACUUACGCAGAUCUGAAUACCAUCAAACUACUAAUCAAAUCAUACCUUGAUCCGAUACCAUACAAACUCAUACUGAUAAUGUACUACACAAAUUAUUCAAAUGAAUUUUCCACUACUUUGUUACAGGACCCCAGAUAAUCAUCAUAACAAUAACUCAAUUUUCAUAUGAUUUCAGAAGAAGAUAUAAUACAACCCAAAUACGGCAAAUUCCAGAUAACUCAGAUUCAACAACUGCUUAACACAUACGAACUCACAUUUAUAAUUUCUUAUGUCCCACAUAACUACGACUAUGUCUAUAUUCAACACUAACAAAUAAUCAUGACGGAUACCCUUCUUAUACAUAUAUGCAUUUCUUUUCUAGAAAUCUCUUAAGACUUACUCAAUUAUAUCACAUAUCUUAUUCAACCCUUAACUUUAGACAUAUCAUAACCCUAUCAUAUCAAUAUCUAUCACAAAAAAAAUCAGGAUUUAUCCAAAACUUACCAUAAAGGUAGAUAAUCAUAUUAUAUCAGACAAACUUAACUAAAUGUGCCACAAAGGCCAAACAAAAUAUGCCUUAAAGGCUUCAUACAAAAUCACGUGUUUACUAUCCCGACGGACUAUCACAAAAGGUGUCAUGGGUUUCUCCCACAUGGACUUAUACAUAAUUUCAUGUAUUGUGAUCUGCCAUUUUGAAUCAUACGUUAUCGAAGGAUACUCCAUAAGCAUACAUACAGACAUAUCUUGCCAUGUGUCUCAGCCACAUGGCUUAAACACACAUUCAUGUACUGUGAUAUGUCAAUCCAGUCUUACUCUUAUUAGAGCCUACACCAUGAGUGUUUUCAAAUCAUAUUAAGAUGUUGUAGGUCUCAACCUCAUAGUCUUACACUUGUUUUCAUAUCGUGACCUGCCAGUCUAGUUAGCAAUAUAAUUGCCUACCAGAGGCUUCAUAGAGGAACAUUUGCUUAGAUUCACUUACCUAGAUGAUCUGUAACACCCCUUACCCGAGACCGUUGUCAGAGUCGAGCACGAGGUAUUACUUAUCUUAUCUUACUAACUCGAAGCAUAAAAACUUGUUUUAAAAAUUAAUUUCACUAUUUAUAGCAAUUUGUCCAAUCGCGCAGCAGUUACUAAAUUAAUUAUAACUCGAGAUACGGAACUUGAAAUUUAACUCCGUAAAUUUUCCCUGAAACUAGACUCAUAUAUCUUCCUACCAUAAAAAUUUUAGGAUUUUUAGUUUAUCAAAUUAGUACAGUUUAUUAGUUAAAUUCUCCCCUGUUUCACAAAUCGACUGCCCUGACCUCUUAUCACUAAAAAUAAAAUGUAUCAUUGUGGGAUUUUCGUAUAGUGCUACCGCUUGCUUCUACAGAAAAUAGACUCAAUAAGGAAUCUAUACAUAUAAACUACAACUCAUAAAUAUUUUUUUAAAAUUUUUAAUGAUUUUAUAAACUCAAAACAGGGGUCACCAAAAACUGUUCUAACCCUGUCUCACCAAAAUUCACAUAUCUUAAAAUAUAAAUUCCUUUUGCUACACCGUUAUUUUUAUGUGAAAAUAGACUCAACAAGAUUUAUGUCAUUCAAUAUUUAAUUCAUUUUAUACUAUCCUAGGUGAUUUUUCAAAGUCACGUCACUGUUGCUGCCUGAAUUCUGUUUCUUUGCAAAAUUUUACCCUUUUAUGAUUUCCAUGCAUAGUUUAUCACUUAGACUCUUAUAACAACAAACACUUCCAUACUUAACCAUUUUAGCAACCAUUCAUCAUCAAAUACUUACACAUCAUUCUUUAGCAAGAUCAUAAAUACAAACAUUUAAAAUAACUAAAUCCCUUUACAUUCCAUACUCAACAUGGUUCAACAUAAAAAUACCGAGUUGCUGUGGUUGAUAGUGUGGACGAUCUCCGACUUCUUUAGGAUCCUUGAAGUAACCUUGCAAUACUAUAAGAGAAAGAGAAAUAAAAGACGUAAGCAUAAAGCUUAGUAAGUUUACUAGCAAAUAAAUAACAAUAUUUAACUAGAUAAUUAAACUCAAGUGUCUAUAUCUCUAGUUUACUAUUUAGUUAAUCUCAUUCUAGUUCUCUUGCUUGUUUACUUAGUAUACUUGUGUGCAUAACUUACUCCUCUCUUGCUGUAUAGUUGAAUAUCAAUUGAUAAUAUAAUAAGUUAUUAACUCUUAUAACUUACCUGAACUUGCCAUUUAUGUUUUUAACUGAACUUUCCUGAACAUGAUUCGUUAUUUAGCCCGUUGAGCUACAUUGGAACAAUAAGGAUACUCGGGUCUCUUCUGAUAAUAACAUGCCAAAGCCAUGUCCCAGACAUGGUCUUACAUGGGAUGUACUCAUGUCGGUGCCCAUUCCAUAUCCCAGACAUGGUCUUACGGGGGACCUCUCAUCUCGGUGCCAAUGCCAUGUCCCAGACAUGGUCUUACAUGGGACCUCUCAUCUCGGUGCCAACGCCAUGUCCCAGACAUGGUCUUACAUGGGACCUCUCAUCUCGGUGCCAACGCCAUGUCCCAGACAUGGUCUUACAUGGGACCUCUUUACCCAAAUGUCAUGACAUUCGUAUCCAGUACCAUCCUUACUAUUCAUGACAACCGAUAUAUAUAUAUACAUACUCACUAUUCACAAGGACUCGAACGAUUAUAUACUCAUCAACCACCUUAAAACAAUGUUCAUAAACUUAUCCAUUUCAUAUAAACAAAAGCAUAUAUAUUUAUAACCAAUGCAUAGAAUCACUUAAUUUAAACAGAUUCACUGGCACUUCACCUGAUAGGCUUAUAGUUUAAUUCAGUUCACCGGCACUUAGCCUACUAGGCUUGUAGCCUGAUUCAGUUCACCGGCACUUAGCCUGCUAGACGUAUAGUCCGAUUCAAUUCACCGGCAUUUAGCCUGCUAGACGUAUAGUCUGAUUCAAUUUACCGGCACUUAGCCUGCUAGACGUAUAGUCUGAAUAAUUUUACUGGUAAUAAAUCCGAUAGUAAUUUCUCCGUUGAAAUUGAAUUAUAUUCAAUUCUGCGUAACAAACAUGCACUUAAAACAUACUUGCAUAAUUCACAACAAUAAUUUCAGUCCAAAGAGCUGUAAUUCAUAUUCGAACUAUAUAUAUAUAAAUCCAUACAUAAAAAUUCAACUCAAAAUUUAUAACCUAUAUCUUUGAACCACAUAGGUACAUGAAAUUCAAACACCAAAAUCCAGCUCAAUAACUUCAUGAUUCAACCUAACAAAUUUAUGUAUAUAACUUUUUAUCUAAUUUCAAUACAAUAACUUAUACAUGUACGUAUAUACAUAUUCGAAUCUAACAUAUACAUAUAUAAUUUCAUACUUAAAUAUAUUCAAGACUUAUUCAUGAGUAUACAUAUAUAUUACAACUCACAUGUACAUAUAUAUACACAUUCAUACCUUUAACCAAGUCCAAGGCUUUAUACAUGUAUAUGCUUAUAUAUAUAUAUUCGGACCUUAUGUUUACAUAUAUAUAUUAUAUAAAUACCUUUGAUUAAAAACAAGUAUUUAUACAUAUAUAUAUUUUCGAACAUGAUACAUAUAUAUUUAUAUCAUUCAUACUUAAACAAAAUUCAAUCCAUAUACUUUCAAUUUCAGCUCACCAAAUUACUAUAGAUAUACAUGCAUAUAUACUGAUUUAAUAACCUCAAAUUGCUAAUAGACUUACCUCGGAUAUCAGCGGACACGAUCGAGUAUUCGAUUACUUUCGUUUUUCCCCGAUCCAAAUUCGUUUUCUUCGUUUUUUAUCUUAAUUAGACCUAGAGAUAGCCGAACCUUGUUGUUCUCUUUUCUUUUCUUUUCUUUUUCUUUUCUAUAUUCGGCCAAGAUGAAGAACAUGGCAUUUAAAAUUUGUUAUAUUAAACAUAUAUUAGCCUUAUUUUUAAUUUACUAUAUUAACCUUUACAUAUAUAUAACAUAUAUAAUAAGGUUACAUUAGUCCUUUGCCACCCACUAACUUACAUAGUGGACUAAUUGCAUAGUAAAACCUCUAAAUUAUAAAGACAACAAGAAUUAGGUCCUUUUAUAAUUAACCCCUAAAUUUUCAUUUUACGCGAUUAAGCCCUUUUAUUAAAUCGGACACUUAAACGACGAAAUUAAAACACGAAAAUUUCACACAAUCAAAUGCAUACAAAACAAUAUUAAUAAUAUUUUUCUAAUUCAAAUUUGUGGUCCCGAAACCAGUAUUCUGAUUAGGGUCAAAAACCGGGUUGUUACAACUCUCCCCCCUUAGGGAUUUUCGUCCCCGAAAAUCUUACCGGUGAAUAGGUUUGGAUAACGCUCUUUCAUUGUAUCUUCUAACUCCCAAGUUGCUUCUUCAACCCCAUGUUUAUGCCACAACACUUUAACUAACGGAAUUUUCUUAUUUCGUAAUUCUUUGAUCUCACGAGCCAGAAUGCUAAUCGGUUCUUCCUCAUAUGUCAUAUCAGAGUUAAUUUCAAUCUCCGUCGGACUAAUCACAUGUGAAGGAUCAGAUCGGUAUCUACGAAGCAUCGAAACAUGGAAUACGUUAUGAAUCUUUUCUAACUCAGGCAGUAACAUCAAUCUAUAAGCAACCAAUCCAACUCGCUCUAUAAUCUCAUACGGUCCAAUGAAUCUCGGACACAAUUUGCCUUUACGACCAAAUCUGAGUAUUUUCUUCCACGGUGAGACUUUUAAAAACACUUUAUCCCCGAUCUGAAAUUCUAUAUCCUUUCUUUUCAAAUUCGCAUAAGAUUUCUGACGAUCCGAUGCUGAUUUCAGACUGUCCCGAAUCACUUUCACUUUCUGUUCGGUCUCUUUAAUCAAAUCAACCCCGUGUAUCUUAUUUUCACUGAGCUCGGUCCAAUACAGUGGUGUACGACAUUUACAACCGUACAAAGCCUCAUAAGGUGCCAUUUUGAUACUAGAUUGAAAGCUAUUAUUAUAAGCAAAUUCAAUCAAAGGUAAGUAUCGUUCCCACGUACCUUCAAACUCGAGAAUGCAACAUCUCAACAUAUCCUCAAGUAUCUGAAUGAUUCAUUCAGAUUGACCAUCUGUCUGCGGAUCGAAAGCUGUGCUAAAAUGUAGUUUCGUACCUAAAGCAUCUUGUAGUUUCUUCCAAAAUCGCGAUGUGAAUCUCAGAUCUCUGUCUGAAACAAUAGAAAUAGGUACACCAUGCAACCUCACAAUUUGUGAAAUAUACAAUUCCGCAAGUUUAUCGAGCGAAAAAUCUGUACGAAUCGAAAUAAAAUGUGUCGAUUUUGUCAACCUAUCAACAAUAACCCAGAUUGCAUCUAUCUUGCUCGGUGUCAACGGUAAAUCGGAUACAAAAUCCAUCGUGACUCGAUCCCAUUUCCAUUGAGGUAUCAUGAUCGGCUGAAGCAACCCAGAUGGUACCUGAUGCUUGGCUUUAACUUGCUGACAAAUUAAACAUUUCGAAACAAAGUCAGAAAUGUCUCGUUUCAUACCUUGCCACCAAUAGUGCUGUUUCAGAUCGUUAUACAUUUUCGUGCUACCCGGAUGAACAGAAAAUCGACUACUAUGAGCUUCCUUCAAAAUCAUCUAAAUUAACUCUGAUUUUUUCGGAACACAUAAUCGGUUUCUAAAUCUCAAACAAUCCUCAGCAUCAACUAAAAACUCCGAAUCAAUAUUUAAGUCACAUUGAGCUCGUUUUGCAGUUAAAUCAUUAUCGACCUUUUGAGCUUCACAAAUCUGUUGUACAAAUAACGGUUUUGCUUUCAACUCAGCUACUAUCGCACCAUCAUCAGACAUAACCAUAUGUGCGUUCAUUGCACGCAAAGCAAACAGUGAUUUUCGACUUAGGGCAUCAGCAACAACAUUAGCCUUUCCCGGAUGAUAGUCAAUCACAAGCUCGUAUUCUUUCAGCAAUUCUAACCAUCGACGCUGUCUCAAAUUCAGAUAUUUCUGAGUCAUCAAAUAUUUCAGGCUUUUGGGAUCGGAAUAAACAUGACAUCUUUCACCAAACAGAUAGUGACGCCAUAUUUUUAACGCAAAUACAAUAGCGGCCAAUUCCAGAUCAUGUGUCGGAUAGUUUUUUUCAUGCGGCUUUAACUGUCUCAAGGCAUAGGCUACAACUUUGCCUUCCUACAUCAAAACACAACCCAAACCAUUUAAAGAUGCAUCACUAUAGAUAACAAACUCUUUACCCGAUUCGGGUUGAACUAAGACUGGAGCUUCGGUCAAAAGAACUUUCAACUGAUCAAAGUUUUUCUGACACUUUUCUGACCACUCGAACUUAACGUCUUUUUGUAGUAGCUUUGUCAUCGGGGUCGCAAUCAUAGAAAACCCUUUCACGAACCGUCUAUAAUAACCAGCGAGCCCCAGAAAGCUUCGAACAUCAGAGACAUUUCUCGGAGGUUUCCAAUCAAGUAUAGCUGAAAUUUUACCUGGAUCAACUCGAAUACCCGAUGCUGACACAACAUGGCCCAGAAAACUAACUUCACGUAACCAGAACUCGCAUUUACUGAACUUUGCAUACAACUGUUUAUCUCGCAAAGUUUGUAACACAAGUCUCAGAUGUUCAGUAUGCUCGGUUUCAUCACGAGAGUAGAUCAAAAUAUCAUCUAUAAAUACUACCACAAAUCGAUCCAGAUACUGUCUAAAAAUCUGAUUCAUCAAAUCCAUGAAAACAGCAGGUGCAUUAGUAAGUCCAAAAGGCAUAACCAAGAACUCAUAAUGUCCGUACCUCGUUCGGAAAGCUGUCUUUGGCACAUCAGAGUCUUUAACUCGCAACUGAUAGUAGCCUGAUCUCAGAUCUAUCUUCGAAAACACAGUAGCCCCUUUCAACUGAUCGAACAAAUCAUCAAUCCGUGGUAACGGAUACUUAUUCUUUAUAGUCACCUUAUUGAGUUGCCGGUAAUCAAUGCACAUUCUCAUUGUUCUGUCUUUCUUUUUCACAAAUAGAACUGGUGCACCCCAAGGAGAGAAACUCGGUCGUGUAAAACCUUUAUCAGUCAACUCUUGCAACUGUACUUUCAAUUCUUUUAAUUCGGUCGGUACCAUACGGUACGGAGCUAUCGAAAUUGGAGUUGUCCCUGGUACUAACUCAAUACCAAACUCUACCUCUCGAAUAGGUGGCAAACCCGGUAAUUCUUCGGGAAACACGUCUGAAUACUUACACACUACUGGCACAGAUUCAAUCUUCUUUUCGGUCACUUUACUAUCAAGAAAAAAUGCAAGGUAAUCUUCACAACCUUUUCUCACAUACUUCUGAGCCGACAUCGAGGAUAUUAUUGCUGGUAAACCAUUCAGAUCAUUAGAUUCAAUCCGAAUAAUCUCAUCAUUCUGACACCGUAGAUCAAUAGUUUUCCGUUUGCAGUUUACUAUAGCAUUAUGCAGAGUUAACCAAUCCAUACCCAGAAUUAUAUCAAACUCGUCAAAUGGUAGCAACAUCAAAUCAGCCAGAAAACAUAAAUCUCGAAUCAUCAACGGACAAUUCUUGCACACUUUGUCAACCAAAACACACCGGCCCAAGAGGUUCAAUACUUUAAUUACAAACUCAGUAGACUCAACAGGCAAAGUCUUACUGAAUACUAAAGUCUCACACACAUAAGAAUGAGUCGAACCAAGAUCAAUCAAUGCAAUAACAUUAGUAUCAUAAAGAGUGAAAGUACCAGUAAUAACAUCUGGAGAAGAAGCCUCCUCCCGAGCACGGAUGGCAUAUGCUCUGGCAAGUGCACGAGCCUCAGAUCGAACUGCCAUGUCCUUUGUUCCUCUCUGACUGCCACUUACAUUACUCAAUUGCCUCGGCGGUCUACCUCGUACAGGUACUUUACUCGGUCUGGUAUUCUACACAGUGUUUUGCUCAGCUACCAUCGGACACUCUCGAAUGAAAUGAUCCUUUGAACCGCACUUAAAGCAAGACCGAUCAUGUAAUCUGCAAUCUCCAGGAUGCCAUUUCCCACAAUGCUUGUACUCUGAUCUAUUUUGUCGAACACUACCAACGCUAGCAACUGAAGUAGCUCGUGAACUCACAGGGGGUCGAUCUCGAUCAUACUUAGGAAACCCUGCAGUAGCUUUAGAUCGGCUAUGAUCCUCUCUGGAUUUCAUUGAGGUCGACUGGAAUGAUUUACUGAAUGAUCUUUUACGAGAAUCUCGAGCUUCAUAGCCAGCUUUCCUCUUCUCUUUACUGAGCUCCUUAACUUUACAAGGUCGUUCAACAAGUACUACGAACUCUUUUAUCUCAAGUAUACCAAAUAACAGUUUAAUAUCUUCAUCCAGCCCAUCUUCAAAUCUUUUACACAUGAUAGCUUCAGUCGAAAUACAUUCUCGAGCAUAUCUACUGAGUCUCACAAAUUUCCGCUCAUAUUCUAUCACUGUCAUACGACCCUGUUUCAAUUCAAGAAAUUCCUUAUGCUUCUGAUCAAUGAAUCUUUGGCUGAUGUAUUUCUUACAGAACUCAAUCUGAAAGAAUUCCCAGGUCACUCGCUCUUUCGGAACCACCGAUACUAGUGUAUUCCACCAGUGAUAUGCAGUGUCCCGUAGCAAAGAUAUGGCACAUUUCAAGUACUCAUCAGGGGUGCAAGAUAACUCAUCAAACACUCGAAUAGUAUUAUCAAGCCAGAAUUCAGCUUGCUCAGCAUCAUCAUCAUCAGUAGCUCUGAACUCUUCGACCCCGUGUUUUCAAAUUUAGUCAACAGGAGGCUUAAGUAAUCUCAUCGGAUCACUUACUUGAGGUAUAAUAGGAAUCGAAGGUGGAUUAGUCGGGGGUGGAGUUUGUUGUGCAACCGGAUUAGUUCGGACAUAUUGAGUAAACCAGUCAUUCAUCAUUUGGUAGAAGGCUUGUUUAGCCUCUCCCUCCUGGUUACUCGAGGUCGGUCGAGAAUCUACCAGCUCUGUCCCUUGUGUGGGAGCAGGCGCUAUACUCUCAACAUCAUCGACUACGGCUGGAUCGGGAUCCAUUACUAUACGAAAACACAUUUUUAGACAUCAGCAGUCAUCGCACUAUCUUGGUAUAAAAAUAUGGCAUGUAUAGCUAGACUCAUACAUGCUACAUUAGUCCAAGAAUCGAUUAAACCGUAGCUCUGAUACCAAUAAAAUGUAACACCCCUAACCCGUAUCCGUCGCCGAAUUAGGGUUACGAGGCAUUACUGAACAAAUACAACCAUUUUUAAAACCAACUGAUCACAAACAUGAAAAUUAAAUCAUUUUCACAUAGCUAUUUAUAAUUUACAAUCAACAUCUAACCAACAUCGUACUCAAACCUAUACAUGCCAUAAGAUCAAGUUCAAAUAUUUAACAAAAUACCAAAAGGGGUCGAAAGUGUGAUAGACUAUGCUGAUGAUCCCCGAGCUCGUAACGCAUCUCCAAAAUCUAUAAAAACAAAUGGACAAAAACAAUCAAAGUAAGCUUUUAUAGCUUAGUAAGUCUAUAGCAUAUCUAAAAUACAUAUAAAAGAAUCAUAUAAUUCUUAAAAUAAAUUUAUUGAAAUCACAAUUAUCAAUUAUAAUUACUAAUCGAACAUUGCUAUAUUAAGUCAUCUUGUUUAAAUCUAAAAGGAUGUGUAUUUAUCUAAUACACAUGAACGGACAAAUGUAUAUACAUUAUAUGCAUAUAAUCAAUUUACUAACAUAAUCAUUAAUUGCAUAUACGGAUUUCUAUAGUACUUAUUGUUCGCACUUAAUCGGAUCCAUUUAAAUAUAAUUGUUCAAAUACAUAUACCAAAAGCAUAAUAAUUUUAUACUUGAUCAACUAUAAGUGCCGAAUGCACAUAUACACCUAUACCCACCUAUGCCGAAUGCAUACAUAUAUACACAUAUAUAUAUAUCCAACAAUUUCGUGACAACCGAUAUAUAUAUACAUACUCACUAUUCACAAGGACUCGAACGAUUAUAUACUCAUCAACCACCUUAAAACAAUGUUCAUAAACUUAUCCAUUUCAUAUAAACAAAAGCAUAUAUAUUUAUACCCAAUGCAUAGAAUCACUUAAUUUAAACAGAUUCACUAGCACUUCACCUGAUAGGCUUAUAGUUUAAUUCAGUUCACCGGUACUUAGCCUACUAGGCUUGUAGCCUGAUUCAGUUCACCGGCACUUAGCCUGCUAGACGUAUAGUCCGAUUCAAUUCACCGGCAUUUAGCCUGCUAGACGUAUAGUCCGAUUCAAUUUAUCGGCACUUAGCCUGCUAGAUGUAUAGUCUGAAUAAUUUUACUGGUAAUAAAUCCGAUAGUCAUUUCUCCGUUGAAAUUGAAUUAUAUUCAAUUCUGCGUAACAAACAUGCACUUAAAACAUACUUGCAUAAUUCACAACAAUAAUUUCAGUCCAAAGAGCUGUAAUUCAUAUUCGAACUAUAUAUAUAAAUCCAUACAUAAAAAUUCAGCUCAAAAUUUAUAACCUAUAUCUUUGAACCACAUAGGUACAUGAAAUUCAAACAACAAAAUCCAGCUCAAUAACUUCAUGAUUCAACCUAACAAAUUUAUGUAUAUAACUUUUUAUCUAAUUUCAAUACAAUAACUUAUACAUGUACGUAUAUACAUAUUCGAAUCUAACAUAUACAUAUAUAAUUUCAUACUUAAAUAUAUUCAAGACUUAUUCAUGAGUAUACAUAUAUAUUACAACUCACAUGUACAUAUAUAUACACAUUCAUACCUUUAACCAAGUCCAAGGCUUUAUACAUGUAUAUGCUUAUAUAUAUAUAUAUUCGGACCUUAUGUUUACAUAUAUAUUAUAUAUAAAUACCUUUGAUUAAAAACAAGUAUUUAUACAUAUAUAUAUUUUUGAACAUGAUACAUAUAUAUAUUUAUAUCAUUCAUACUUAAACAAAAUUCAAUCCAUAUACUUUCAAUUUCAGCUCACCAAAUUACUAUAGAUAUACAUGCAUAUAUACUGAUUUAAUAACCUCAAAUUGCUAAUAGACUUACCUCGGAUAUCAGCGGACACGAUCGACUAUUCGAUUACUUUCGUUUUUCCCCGAUCCAAAUUCGUUUUCUUCGUUUUUUUAUCUUAAUUAGACCUAGAGAUAGCCGAACCUUGUUGUUCUCUUUUCUUUUCUUUUCUUUUUCUUUUCUAUAUUCGGCCAAGAUGAAGAACAUGGCAUUUAAAAUUUGUUAUAUUAAACAUAUAUUAGCCUUAUUUUUAAUUUACUAUAUUAACCUUUACAUAUAUAUAUAACAUAUAUAAUAAGGUUACAUUAGUCCUUUGCCACCCACUAACUUACAUAGUGGACUAAUUGCAUAGUAAAACCUCUAAAUUAUAAAGACAACAACAAUUAGGUGCUUUUAUAAUUAACCCCUAAAUUUUCAUUUUACGCGAUUAAGCCCUUUUAUUAAAUCGGACACUUAAACGACGAAAUUAAAACACGAAAAUUUCACACAAUCAAAUGCAUACAAAAUAAUAUUAAUAAUAUUUUUCUAAUUCAAAUUUGUGGUCCCGAAACCAGUAUUCUGAUUAGGGUCAAAAACCGGGUUGUUACAACUCUCCCCCCUUAGAGAUUUUCGUCCCCGAAAAUCUUACCGGUGAAUAGGUUUGGAUAACGCUCUUUCAUUGUAUCUUCUGACUCCCAAGUUGCUUCUUCAACCCCAUGUUUAUGCCACAACACUUUAACUAACGGAAUUUUCUUAUUUCGUAAUUCUUUGAUCUCACGAGCAAGAAUGCUAAUCGGUUCUUCCUCAUAUGUCAUAUCAGAGUUAAUUUCAAUCUCCGUCGGACUAAUCACAUGUGAAGGAUCAGAUCGGUAUCUACGGAGCAUCGAAACAUGGAAUACGUUAUGAAUCUUUUCUAACUCAGGCAGUAACAUCAAUCUAUAAGCAACCAAUCCAACUCGCUCUAUAAUCUCAUACGGUCCAAUUAAUCUCGGACACAAUUUGCCUUUACGACCAAAUCUGAGUAUUUUCUUCCACGGUGAGACUUUUAACUUGCUCGGUGUCAACGGUAAAUCGGAUACAAAAUCCAUCGUGACUCGAUCCCAUUUCCAUUGAGGUAUCAUGAUCGGCUGAAGCAAUCCAGAUGGUACCUGAUGCUCGGCUUUAACUUGCUGACAAAUUAAACAUUUCGAAACAAAGUCAGAAAUGUCUCGUUUCAUACCUUGCCACCAAUAGUGCUGUUUUAGAUCGUUAUACAUUUUCGUGCUACCCGGAUGAACAGAAAAUCGAAUACUAUGAGCUUCCUUCAAAAUCAUCUGAAUUAACUCUGAAUUUUUCGGAACACAUAAUCGGUUUCUAAAUCUCAAACAAUCCUCAGCAUCAACUAAAAACUCCGAAUCAAUAUUUAAGUCACAUUGAGCUCGUUUUGCAGUUAAAUCAUUAUCAACCUUUUGAGCUUCACAAAUCUGUUGUACAAAUAACAGUUUUGCUUUCAACUCAGCUACUAUCGCACCAUCAUCAGACAUAACCAUAUGUGCGUUCAUUGCACGCAAAGCAAACAGUGAUUUUCGACUUAGGGCAUCAGCAACAACAUUAGCCUUUCCCGGAUGAUAGUCAAUCACAAGCUCGUAAUCUUUCAGCAAUUCUAACCAUCGACGCUGUCUCAAAUUCAGAUAUUUCUGAGUCAUCAAAUAUUUCAGGCUUUUGGGAUCGGAAUAAACAUGACAUCUUUCGCCAAACAGAUAGUGACGCCAUAUUUUUAACGCAAAUACAAUAGCGGCCAAUUCCAGAUCAUGCGUCGGAUAGUUUUUUUCAUGCGGCUUUAACUGUCUCAAGGCAUAGGCUACAACUUUGCCUUCCUACAUCAAAACACAACCCAAACCAUUUAAAGAUGCAUCACUAUAGAUAACAAACUCUUUACCCGAUUCGGGUUGAACUAGGACUGGAGCUUCGGUCAAAAGAACUUUCAACUGAUCAAAGUUUUUCUGACACUUUUCUGACCACUCGAACUUAACGUCUUUUUGUAGUAGCUUUGUCAUCGGGGUCGCAAUCAUAGAAAACCCUUUCACGAACCGUCUAUAAUAACCAGCGAGCCCCAGAAAGCUUCGAACAUCAGAGACAUUUCUCGGAGGUUUCCAAUCAAGUAUAGCUGAAAUUUUACUUGGAUCAACCUGAAUACCCGAUGCUGACACAACAUGGCCCAGAAAACUAACUUCACGUAACCAGAACUCGAAUUUACUGAACUUUGCAUACAACUGUUUAUCUCGCAAAGUUUGUAACACAAGUCUCAGAUGUUCAGUAUGCUCGGUUUCAUCACGAGAGUAGAUCAAAAUAUCAUCUAUAAAUACUACCACAAACAGAUCCAGAUACUGUCUAAAAAUCUGAUUCAUCAAAUCCAUGAAAACAGCAGGUGCAUUAGUAAGUCCAAAAGGCAUAACCAAGAACUCAUAAUGUCCGUACCUCGUUCGGAAAGCAGUCUUUGGCACAUCAGAGUCUUUAACUCGCAACUGAUAGUAGCCUGAUCUCAGAUCUAUCUUCGAAAACACAGUAGCCCCUUUCAACUGAUCGAACAAAUCAUCAAUCCGUGGUAACGGAUACUUAUUCUUUAUAGUCACCUUAUUGAGUUGCCGGUAAUCAAUGCACAUUCUCAUUGUUCCGUCUUUCUUUUUCACAAAUAGAACUGGUGCACCCCAAGGAGAGAAACUCGGUCGUGCAAAACCUUUAUCAGUCAACUCUUGCAACUGUACUUUCAAUUCUUUUAAUUCAGUCGGUGCCAUACGGUACGGAGCUAUCGAAAUUGGAGUUGUCCCUGGUACUAACUCAAUACCAAACUCUACCUCUCGAAUAGGUGGCAAACCCGGUAAUUCUUCGGGAAACACGUCUGAAUACUUACACACUACUGGCACAGAUUCAAUCUUCUUUUCGAUCACUUUACUAUCAAGAAAAAAUGCAAGGUAAUCUUCACAACCUUUUCUCACAUACUUUUUUGCCGACAUCGAGGAUAUUAUUGCUGGUAAACCAUUCAGAUCAUUAGAUUCAAUCCGAAUAAUCUCAUCAUUCUGACACCGUAGAUCAAUAGUUUUCCGUUUGCAGUUUACUAUAGCAUCAUGCAGAGUUAACCAAUCCAUACCCAGAAUUAUAUCAAACUCGUCAAAUGGUAGCAACAUCAAAUCAGCCAGAAAACAUAAAUCUCGAAUCAUCAACGGACAAUUCUUGCAUAUUUUGUCAACCAAAACACACCGGCCCAGGGGGUUCAAUACUUUAAUUACAAACUCAGUAGACUCAACAGGCAAAGUCUUACUGAAUACUAAAGUCUCACACACAUAAGAAUGAGUCGAACCAAGAUCAAUCAAUGCAAUAACAUUAGUAUCAUAAAGAGGGAAAGUACCAGUAAUAACAUCUGGAGAAGAAGCCUCCUCUUGAGCACGGAUGGCAUAUGCUCUGGCAAGUGCACGAGCCUCAGAUCGAACUGCCAUGUCCUUUGUUCCUCUCUGACUGCCACUUACAUUACUCAAUUGCCUCGGUGGUCUACCUCGUACUGGCACUUUACUCGGUCUGGUAUUCUGCACAGUGUUUUGCUCAGCUACCAUCGGACACUCUCGAAUGAAAUGAUCCUUUGAACCGCACUUAAAGCAAGACCGAUCAUGUAAUCUGCAAUCUCCAGGAUGCCAUUUCCCACAAUACUUGUACUCUGAUCUAUUUUGUCGAACACUACCAACGCUAGCAACUGAAGUAGCUCGUGAACUCACAGGGGGUCGAUCUCGAUCAUACUUAGGAAACCCUGCAGUAGCUUUAGAUCGGCUAUGAUCCUCUCUGGAUUUCAUUGAGGUCGACUGGAAUGAUUUACUGAAUAAUCUUUUACGAGAAUCUCGAGCUUCAUAGCCAGCUUUCCUCUUCUCUUUCCCGAGCUCCUCAACUUUACAAGGUCGUUCAACAAGUACUACGAACUCUUUUAUCUCAAGUAUACCAAAUAACAGUUUAAUAUCUUCAUCCAGCCCAUCUUCAAAUCUUUUACACAUGAUAGCUUCAGUCGAAAUACAUUCUCGAGCAUAUCUACUGAGUCUCACAAAUUUCCGCUCAUAUUCUAUCACUGUCAUACGACCCUGUUUCAAUUUAAGAAAUUACUUACGCUUCUGAUCAAUGAAUCUUUGGCUGAUGUAUUUCUUACAGAACUCAAUCUGAAAGAAUUCCCAGGUCACUCGCUCUUUCGGAACCACCGAUACUAGUGUAUUCCACCAGUGAUAUGCAGUGUCCCGUGGCAAAGAUAUGGCACAUUUCAAGUACUCAUCAGGGGUGCAAGAUAACUCAUCAAACACUCGAAUAGUAUUAUCAAGCCAGAAUUCAUCUCGCUCAGCAUCAUCAUCAUCAGUAGCUCUGAACUCUUCGACCCCGUGUUUUUGAAUUUUGUCAAUAGGAGGCUUAAGUAAUCUCAUCGGAUCACUUACUUGAGGUAUAACAGGAAUCGAAGGUGGAUUAGUCGGGGGUGGAGUUUGUUGUGCAACCGGAUUAGUUCGGACAUAUUGAGUAAACCAGUCAUUCAUCAUUUGGUAGAAGGCUUGUUUAGCCUCUCCCUCCUGGUUACUCGAGGUCGGUCGAGAAUCUACCGGCUCUGUCCCUUGUGUGGGAGCAGGCGCUAUACCCUCAACAUCAUCGACUACGGCUCGAUCGGGAUCCAUUACUAUACGAAAACACAUUUUUAGACAUCAGCAGUCAUCACACUAUCUUGGUAUAAAAAUAUGGCAUGUAUAGCUAGACUCAUACAUGCUACAUUAGUCCAAGAAUCGAUUAAACCGUAGCUCUGAUACCAAUAAAAUGUAACACCCCUAACCCGUAUCCGUCGCCGAAUUAGGGUUACGAGGCAUUACUGAACAAAUACAACCAUUUUUAAAACCAACUGAUCACAAACAUGAAAAUUAAAUCAUUUUCACAUAGCUAUUUAUAAUUUACAAUCAACAUCUAACCAACAUCGUACUCAAACCUAUACAUGCCAUAAGAUCAAGUUCAAAUAUUUAACAAAAUACCAAAAGGGGUCAAAAGUGUGAUAGACUAUGCUGAUGAUCCCCGAGCUCGUAACGCGUCUCCAAAAUCUAUAAAAACAAAUGGACAAAAACAAUCAAAGUAAGCUUUUAUAGCUUAGUAAGUCUAUAGCAUAUCUAAAAUACAUAUAAAAGAAUCAUAUAAUUCUUAAAAUAAAUUUAUUGAAAUCACAAUUAUCAAUUAUAAUUACUAAUCGAACAUUGCUAUAUUAAGUCAUCUUGUUUAAAUCUAAAAGGAUGUGUAUUUAUCUAAUACACAUGAACGGACAAAUGUAUAUACAUUAUAUGCAUAUAAUCAAUUUACUAACAUAAUCAUUAAUUGCAUAUACGGAUUUCUAUAGUACUUAUUGUUCGCACUUCAUCGGAUCCAUUUAAAUAUAAUUGUUCAAAUACAUAUACCAAAAGCAUAAUAAUUUUAUACUUGAUCAACUAUAAGUGCCGAAUGCACAUAUACACCUAUACCCACCUAUGCCGAAUGCAUACAUAUAUACACAUAUAUAUAUAUCCAACAAUUUCAUGACAACCGAUAUAUAUAUACAUACUCACUAUUCACAAGGACUCGAACGAUUAUAUACUCAUCAACCACCUUAAAACAAUGUUCAUAAACUUAUCCAUUUCAUAUAAACAAAAGCAUAUAUAUUUAUACCCAAUGCAUAGAAUCACUUAAUUUAAACAGAUUCACUGGCACUUCACCUGAUAGGCUUAUAGUUUAAUUCAGUUCACCGGCACUUAGCCUACUAGGCUUGUAGCCUGAUUCAGUUCACCGGCACUUAGCCUGCUAGACGUAUAGUCCGAUUCAAUUCACCGGCAUUUAGCCUGCUAGACGUAUAGUCCGAUUCAAUUUACCGGCACUUAGCCUGCUAGAUGUAUAGUCUGAAUAAUUUUACUGGUAAUAAAUCCGAUAGUCAUUUCUCCGUUGAAAUUGAAUUAUAUUCAAUUCUGCGUAACAAACAUGCACUUAAAACAUACUUGCAUAAUUCACAACAAUAAUUUCAGUCCAAAGAGCUGUAAUUCAUAUUCGAACUAUAUAUAUAUAAAUCCAUACAUAAAAAUUCAGCUCAAAAUUUAUAACCUAUAUCUUUGAACCACAUAGGUACAUGAAAUUCAAACAACAAAAUCCAGCUCAAUAACUUCAUGAUUCAACCUAACAAAUUUAUGUAUAUAACUUUUUAUCUAAUUUCAAUACAAUAACUUAUACAUGUACGUAUAUACAUAUUUGAAUCUAACAUAUACAUAUAUAAUUUCAUACUUAAAUAUAUUCAAGACUUAUUCAUGAGUAUACAUAUAUAUUACAACUCACAUGUACAUAUAUAUACACAUUCAUACCUUUAACCAAGUCCAAGGCUUUAUACAUGUAUAUGCUUAUAUAUAUAUAUAUUCGGACCUUAUGUUUACAUAUAUAUUAUAUAUAAAUACCUUUGAUUAAAAACAAGUAUUUAUACAUAUAUAUAUUUUCGAACAUGAUACAUACAUAUAUUUAUAUCAUUCAUACUUAAACAAAAUUCAAUCCAUAUACUUUCAAUUUCAGCUCACCAAAUUACUAUAGAUAUACAUGCAUAUAUACUGAUUUAAUAACCUCAAAUUGCUAAUAGACUUACCUCGGAUAUCAGCGGACACGAUCGACUAUUCGAUUACUUUCGUUUUUCCCCGAUCCAAAUUCGUUUUCUUCGUUUUUUUAUCUUAAUUAGACCUAGAGAUAGCCGAACCUUGUUGUUCUCUUUUCUUUUCUUUUCUUUUUCUUUUCUAUAUUCGGCCAAGAUGAAGAACAUGGCAUUUAAAAUUUGUUAUAUUAAACAUAUAUUAGCCUUAUUUUUAAUUUACUAUAUUAACCUUUACAUAUAUAUAACAUAUAUAAUAAGGUUACAUUAGUCCUUUGCCACCCACUAACUUACAUAGUGGACUAAUUGCAUAGUAAAACCUCUAAAUUAUAAAGACAACAACAAUUAGGUGCUUUUAUAAUUAACCCCUAAAUUUUCAUUUUACGCGAUUAAGCCCUUUUAUUAAAUCGGACACUUAAACAACGAAAUUAAAACACGAAAAUUUCACACAAUCAAAUGCAUACAAAAUAAUAUUAAUAAUAUUUUUCUAAUUCAAAUUUGUGGUCCCGAAACCAGUAUUCUGAUUAGGGUCAAAAACUGGGUUGUUACAACUCUCCCCCCUUAGGGAUUUUCGUCCCCGAAAAUCUUACCGGUGAAUAGGUUUGGAUAACGCUCUUUCAUUGUAUCUUCUGACUCCCAAGUUGCUUCUUCAACCCCAUGUUUAUGCCACAACACUUUAACUAACGGAAUUUUCUUAUUUCGUAAUUCUUUGAUCUCACGAGCCAGAAUGCUAAUCGGUUCUUCCUCAUAUGUCAUAUCAGAGUUAAUUUCAAUCUCCGUCGGACUAAUCACAUGUGAAGGAUCAGAUCGGUAUCCACAGAGCAUUGAAACAUGGAAUACGUUAUGAAUCUUUUCUAACUCAGGCAGUAACAUCAAUCUAUAACCAACCGAUCCAACUCGCUCUAUAAUCUCAUACGGUCCAAUGAAUCUCGGACUCAAUUUGCCUUUACGACCAAAUCUGAGUAUUUUCUUCCACGGUGAGACUUUUAAAAACACUUUAUCCCCGAUCUGAAAUUCUAUAUCCUUUCUUUUCAAAUCCGCAUAAGAUUUCUGACGAUCCGGUGCUGAUUUCAGACUGUCCCGAAUCACUUUCACUUUCUGUUCGGUCUCUUUAAUCAAAUCAACCCCGUGUAUCUUAUUUUCACUGAGCUCAGUCCAAUACAGUGGUGUACGACAUUUACGACCGUACAAAGCCUCAUAAGGUGCCAUUUUGAUACUAGAUUGAAAGCUAUUAUUAUAAGCAAAUUCAAUCAAAGGUAAGUAUCGUUCCCACGUACCUUCAAACUCGAGAAUGCAACAUCUCAACAUAUCCUCAAGUAUCUGAAUGAUUCGUUCAGAUUGACCAUCUGUCUGCGGAUGGAAAGCUGUGCUAAAAUGUAGUUUCGUACCUAAAGCUGUGCUAAAAUGCACACAAAAUAAACACACAAAAUAAUAUUAAUAAUAUUUUUCUAAUUCGGAUUUGUGGUCCCGAAACCACUAUUCCGAUUAGGGUCAAAAACCGGGUUGUUACAAUUCUGCUUCUUCUGCAUCAUCAUCUUUGGUAGCUCGAAAUUCUUCAGCCCCUUACUUCCUAAUCUUAUCAACAGGUGGUCUCUCACUGAUGACUAUACCUGCAGCUAGGGAAACUACAUGAGGAACCUGUGAAUCCUGAAGGGGUGGAGGUCUUACACCCGGAUUCAUACGAACGAACUCGGCAAACCAAUCAUUCAUGGCUUGGAAGAAGGCUUCUCUAGCUCCUCCUCCCUGUCUAACUGAUGCAGGUCUUUCACUAACGUUAACAUCUAGUGGCACCGUCCUUUCUGCGGAAGUAGGCGCAUUACUCUCUACUUCAUCUGCACCAGCUCGUUCAGGAUCCGUAACUAUAAAAUAAAAUAUUUUAAAAUCGUCAAGAGUCGUCACACUAUCAAAAUAUAUAAGUAUGGCAUGUAUAGGUAGACUUUUAUUCAUACUGCAUAUUUCUGAGAACCGAUUAAACCUGCUCUGAUACCAACAAAUGUAACACCCCUUACCCAAGACCAUUUUCGGAGUCGAGCACGAGGCAUUACUUAUCUUAUCUUACUAACUCGAAGCAUAAAAACUUAUUUUAAAAAUUAAUUUCACUAUUUACAGCAAUCUGUCCAAUCGAGCAGCAGUUACUAAAUUAAUAAUAACUCGAGCUACGGAACUUGAAAUUUAACUUCGUAAAUUUUCACUGAAACUAGACUCAUAUAUCUUCCUACCAUAAAGUUUUUAGGAUUUUUUGUUUAGCCAACUAGUACAGUUUAUUAGUCAAAUUCUCCCCUGUUUCACCAAUCGAUUGCCUUGACCUCUUAUCACUAAAAAUAAAAUUUCUCAAUGUGGGAUUUUCGUAUAGUGCUACUGCUUGCUUCUACAAAAAAUAGACUCAAUAAGGAAUCUAUAAAUAUAAACUACAGCUCCUAAAUAUUUUUUUAAAAAUUUUAAUGAUUUUCUAAACUCAAAAUAGGGGUCACCAAAAACUGUUCUAACCCUGUCUCACCAAAAUUCACAUAUCUUAAAAUAUAAAAUUCAUUUUGCUACACCGUUAUUUUUAUCUGAAAAUAGACUCAACAAGAUUUAAAUUCAUAUAUCAUUCACUCUUUAAUUCAUUUUAUACUAUCCUAGGUGAUAUUUCAAAGUCACGUCGUUGUUGCUGCCUGAAUUCUGUUUCUUUGCAAAAUUGUACCAUUUUAUGAUUUCCAUGCAUAGUUUAUCACUUACACUCUUAUAACAACAAACACUUCCAUACUUCACCAUUUUAGCAACCAUUCAUCAUCAACUACUUACAUAUCAUUCUUUAUCAAGAUCAUAAAUACAAACAUUUAAAAUAACUAAAUCCCUAUACAUUCCAUACUCAACAUGGUUCAACAUAAAAAUACCGAGUUGCUGUGGCUGAUAGUGUGGACGAUCUCCGACUUCUUUAGGAUCCUUGAAGUAACCUUGCAAUACUAUAAGAGAAAGAGAAAUAAAAGACGUAAGCAUAAAGCUUAGUAAGUUUACUAGCAAAUAAAUAACAAUAUUUAACUCAGAUAAUUAAACUCAAGUGUCUAUAUCUCUAGUUUACUCUUUAGUUAAUCCCAUUCUAGUUCUCUUGCUUGUUUACUUAGUAUACUUGUGUGCAUAACUUAAUCUUCUCUUGCUGUAUCGUUGAAUAUCAAUUGAUAAUAUAAUAAGUUCUUAACUCUUAUAACUUACCUGAACUUGCCAUUUAUGUUUUUAACUGAACUUUCCUGAACAUGAUUCGUUAUUUAGCCCGUUGAGCUACAUUGGAACAAUAAGGAUACUCGGGUCUCUUCUGAUAAUAACAUGCCAAAGCCAUGUCCCAGACAUGGUCUUACAUGGGAUGUACUCAUGUCGGUGCCCAUUCCAUGUCCCAGACAUGGUCUUACGGGGGACCUCUCAUCUCGGUGCCAAUGUCAUGUCUCAGACAUGGUCUUACAUGGGACCUCUCAUCUCGGUGCCAACACCAUGUCCCAGACAUUGUCUUACAUGGGACCUCUCAUUUCGGUGCCAACGCCAUGUCCCAGACAUGGUCUUACAUGGGACCUCUUUAUCCAAAUGUCAUGACAUUCGUAUCCAGUAUUAUCCUUAUGUAUCAACGGGACUUUUUAAUUUUAAUUCUCUAUCAUUUCAUGCUUGGAUAAUCAUCAAAUAAAUUCAUGAAAUAAAUUCAUAGUUGCUGGAAAAUAGCAGCAUUAAUAAAAAUUAUUGAAAUAUUUCAUUUAUUUACCGUAAACUUACCUUGGUACCGAAUAUAGCCCAAUUCACCAACUUAGUCUUCAACUUUAUUCUUUCCUUUGUCUAACCUCGAGUUUCAUUCUUCUUGAUCUAAAAUAGAAAAUUUAACUUAUUUAAUACUCACAUUCAUCAAAACAGCCCUCGACUCUAACUUUUCAAAAUUAUGAUUUUGCCCCUAAACUUUUACAUAAUUACAUUUUUCCCCAAGGCUCGAAAAUUCAACUUCAUCUCAUAUUCUUAUGUUUUAUGGCAUGCUGAAUAUUUUUCUCUUCUAUGACAAUAUCAAAUUCUCACUCUAACACUUACUUAUGUACAUUAGAGAUUUUUACCGAUUAUGUCAACUUACUCGUUUUUGCUUAAAAUCGGCUAACAAAAGUUGUUUAACAUAAUUUAUAGCUUCAUAUUCUAUCAUAAAACAUCAAAAUAAACACUUUUCACCUAUGGGUAUUUUUCCAAAUAUAAACCCUAGGUUAAAUUAUUGCUAGAAUAAGCUAAAUUAAGUUACCGGGACUCCAAAAACGUAAGGAACAUUAAAAACGGGGCUUGGGAUCACUUACUAUGGAGCUUGGAAGCUUGAAAACCCUAAAUAUGGCUUACCCCCUUGCUGAUUUCGUCCAAAUGAAGAAGAUGAGCAUAAUUUGUCAUCUUUUUCCCUUUUAAUUCAUUUUAAUUACUAGAUUACCAAAUUGCCCCUAACUUAAAAAUUUCCUAUUUCACUUAUCUCAUGUCCAUUUUUGUCUAAAAACUUAACCAAUGGUCUAAUUACCAUAUAAAGACCUCCAAUUUAAAGUUUCAUAACAAUUGGACACCUCUAACAUGUAGAACUCAACUUUUGCACUUUUUGCAAUUUAGUACUUUUGACUAAAUUGAGUGCCCAAACUUCAAAAUUUUCGAAUAAAAUUUUCAUGAAAUCAUUUUGUGAAAUCAUAGACCAUAAAAAUAUAAGAAAAAUAAAAUUUUCCUCAUCGGAUUUGUGAUCCCGAAACCACUGUUCCGAUAAUCUUAAAUUUGGGCCAUUACAUGAUCACCUUUUUACUAGCUCAUACAUCUCCUACAUCAGACCUUACAUGCAUGCUUACCAAACUUUAUUCUUUUUAACAAAACUUUAUACAUAUCAUCGUAGCACAUCUUUCAUCUUUACUAAACUCAUAUUUUUACCAAUUUCUGUAGACAUCAUCAUCAUCAUCCUAUAUAUAUGCUUCUUGUUUGAACAGUUCAUAUCAAAGAGUCAAGAUAGAGACCCACUUGACACUCACCUACUGCAGUUCAAAGCUCUAAACUUAACCAUCCUUCUCAAACCAGCAGUAAAAACUGCUUAUAGAACAUAGAAUCACCAUUAAAAACCCAUUUACAUACAAAUUACUAUCAUCUUAAUCACUUUUCCACUGUUAAUUUAUAAAUAAGUGUUAAGUAGUAAAUAAAUAAAAAAAUUAACUAAGUUUUCAAAAAAAAAGUCACUGUGACGAGAAGAAUGUUAAAAUUAAUUGGUGUUUGUUAACUCAUAUGUUUUUCUAAAAAUGGGUUAAGUUUUCUUCUGAAAUAAACAAAUGUUUUAAAAUGAUUGUUUUAUAAACUCCGAUCGUACUAUCCCAUCUUGGUGGCUGAUGUAAUAUCCCAAAUUCAGGUCUAACAUCUAAGUCGGGUUGGAUAGGUUACAAUAUAUAUAGAAAGAUUGAUAAAUAAUGCAAACUUGAAUACAAGCAAAGAAAGAAAUCAAUCAAUGUGAAUGACUAACAAGUUUAAAAUCAUAUAUUUGCAUUAUAUUUUGUAAAGCACAAGAUUGUCAUGGAAUUAGACAAUUUGUUUUGAUAAUGGUUAUAUUUUAUAUAGAUUUACUUUUAUGCACUUUCAUAUUGAGUUGAUCAAAAGUUUUGAAACUUUAUAGAAAAUUUGAAUGAAAGAGCAUAUUGAUAUAUAUGCUAUCUUGAGUGUUGAAUUAAGCAUUCUUUAGUAAAAGAGUGUACAUUUCGCACAUGGUAGGUGUGUUGGUUUCUUAUAUAUUAAUUAAGCACAAAUUAAAGAAAAAUAAUAUAUAUCACCAUAGUGUUGUAAUAUUUUGUAUAAUUUGUGAAAUUAUACAAGCAAAUAAGUUUACCUAUCUUGUUAAAUAAAACUCAUUAAGUUGGUUCUUAAUCUUGAAGAAUUAAAUAGGUUGGCUUCUUUAUUCAUUUUAUCCAACUACAAGUUAGAUUAAAGUUGUGGAAAUAGAAUGGUUGAAAAUUUGUGUUAAUGAGAAUUAGAGUUAUGGCCACAACUGAUGCCAACUAUUUCCUAAAAACAGGGAAUGAUGUCCAAAAACAUGCUGUAAAAUAAAAAUUUGGACAUGUUAGAAUAUGAAUUUAUUAUAUUAUAGUUUCAAUGUAAUACCCUUAUCCCAUCUCUGUUGCCGGAUUAGGAUUUCAGAGUAUUACUGAGAAAAAUAGAACAUUUAACUUUCCAACAGAAACAAUUGUACAAUUAAAUACCAACAUAUAACAAUUGAAUCUAAUCAUGGCAAAUAUUACACUUUUGGACCUUGAAUCGAGCCUAUGGGGCCCUAGAAACAGUUUAGGAACAAUCUGGGAUCAAAUCAAAACAAAUCAGAACAUUUUGAAAAAACAUAAAAAUUUAGGAAUACAGAGGUCACAGGCCAUAUGGCCAAGUCGUGUGACAUAGCCUAGAUUGUGUAAACAUCCGAAGUCAGGACACAUAGCUGUGUCCCAGCCUGUGUGUCUACUCAUGUGUAUAUUUGAAAUAGGGUCACACAGUCGUGUUGCAGACUGCCAAACGUGUGUGUAUUCAAAGUGAGGUCGCAAGACCAUGUGGCCGACCGUGCCACAAACUGUUUUGAGACACAAGGUCAUGUCUCAGACCGUGUAAAACAUGCACUUAAAAUAAUAAAUACACACGACCGUAUCUAGUGACUAUGUGUGGCACAUGGUCGUGUGGUAGCUUGUGUCUCAGGUCGUGUGCUCCAUUUUUAACCCCUAAAUCAAGCCAAUCAAGCAUCAUUUCUUAUACAACAAGACAUACCAUAUCUAACUAAUUUUACAUGGUUAAAAACACAUUCAAAUCAACAAAUACAUGCCAAAAUUUCGUUCAUCCUAUGUCUAACCAAUAUGCCAUCAAAAGGCACCUCAAUCCAUACAUCCAUUCAACUCAAGAACAAAGUUACAAUAAAUGAACAAGUUUUAUCAUUAGUUAACCAUUCAUGCCUAAAACCACUAAUCUAAUUGACCAAAAUAUGGGCAUACUCAACAAGCAACCAUUUCAAAACAUCAUCAUCAAAUCUUUAUAUACCAUUUAUGAUCAACUUAAUUAUAUUCAACACAAGUACACAUCCAAAAUCAAGCACAUCACUAAGUAUGCCAAAAUAACUUAACUAUUUACAUAUCAACAAUAAGACACCAUAUCCCAAAAUGAAAUAAAAAAGCUACCAAGAUGGUUGGAUAGUGUGUGCUCCAAAACAAUUCAUCCGGUUAGUCCACAAAACGCCAAAUCAACCAAUAUAGAUAAACAAAAAGGUAAGUUCUAAUUCUUGAUAUUCAAAUGCAAGAUCACACCACAUUAGUAUAUAUUUAUUUACAUCAUAAAUGAUACCUUCCAAAAUUCAUAACCAAUUCAUCAUCCACAAUUUCUCAAUACAACCAUUAAUAUUUAUAAACAAGAACUUCAUAGUAACAUUUAUCAUUUAGUAGUAAUAUAAUUAUCCAACAAAAUUGAACAAAUAAAUGCGUUUUAAGUCAUUUGAUACAUAGCCUGCUGAACUAUAGUAACUUGACUCGGAUACUCAUGAUACUACAUCACACCAAAGGUAUCAAUGAUGCAUAACAGAGGCACCGAAGUGCAGACAAAUGCAUGAAUGUGCAAUCAGAGGCACCGAAGUGAAAACAGAUGCACCAAAGUACAAACCCGUACGAGUGCGCAUUAAAACCCUAUUGGCAUGCUAAUCGUAUCCUAAUUGUUUACUACGUUCAACUGGGCAUUAUACUUAAAAUCAUAAUAUCAAUAAAUCCAUCAUUUAGAGGCACUUCUUAUUUCCGUACACAUACUAUAAAUAUGUAACUUUCAUUUCAAUAAUAUGCAAUAACAAUAAUUACCAUCAUCAAACAUUCAUUUUCUAUUUGUACUUAAUUGCAAAAUUUAAUAAUAUAUAAGUAACUCAUGAAAUUUCACAUAUAUACCAUUAACUAGAAAACAAUAAUAUAAUCAUAAAGUGACACACAUAUACAUAUUAUUACACUAUGAACUUACCUAAAAUCUACUUUCGAUUAAUACACAGGGACUACUCCGCUAUUUUUUCCCUUUUCUCGGUUAUUGUCUUUUUGACUCGGUUCUUGAUCUAUAUAGUAAUUAAAUUCAAUUUAUGAAAUUCACAUACAUUUAAAACUCAAUUCAAUGCAUGAUACCCUUAUGUUUUCAUUAUUUUCACAUUUUUCUUAAACUUUUACAUUUCUCACAAUUUAGUCCCUACAAAAUUUAACAAAAUUUUACAAUUUUCCAUGUUAGUUGAACUUCUUUCGAAACUAGUACAAUCCCUAAUUAUUCACAAUUCACAAAAUUUCUAUGCAAAUUUUAAUAAUUCACACAUUGAUCAUUAAACUCAAAAUUAACACAAAUUUUUUUACAAAAAUAUCCUAAUCAACAUUCAAAUAUGUACAACUACCAUUAAAAAUCAUGAACACCAAAAUUCCAUUACUAACCAAUCCCUAAAACUUUAACAUUUUUAUAAUUCCAUCCUCGGGUUUAAUAGUUUAAGUUACAACGAGUUCAAAAACGUAAAAAUUAUUAAAAACAGGUAAGAGAAACACUUACAUGCACCAAUUUGCUAACCGAAACUUCAAGCUCCAAAAAUGGAGUUUUUUUUUUCUUUUUCGGUGGGAGAGAGUUGAGAAGAUGAUGAUACCAUUUUUUUCUUUUGUUUCUUUUCUUUAAUCAAACUAAUUACUAAAUUAUCCUUUUAAUCUAAACUAAAUUAUUAACAUAGCAUGUCCGUAAUUAUCCAUUAACUAACCAUAAGGUUUAUCUAUCAACCAAGUCCAUUACUUUAGUUUUUCUUUAAAAAUCAAGCACAUUUAACAAAUAGAAGCCACUUUAGCAUCUUUUACAAUUUAGACCUUUUUACUAAAUUAACUAAACAGACAUUAAAAUUUCUUAGCCAAAUUUUAUUAUGACUCCAAUAUAACUCUAUAAGCAUAAAAUAAACAUAAAAUACUAACUCAUUUGUCGAAAUUGUGGUCCUGAAACCACCUUUUUUGAUACCACUGAAAAAUGAGAUAUUACAUUAAAUCUCUAAUUUAUGAUAAUGAAUGUGAGAGAAUAAUUUUCUUUGUUUAGAAAUACUAAUCAUUUUCUUUGUUUAGUAAUACUACAACUAGAAUGUGUUUCGACCCUAUUAUUAGAAACUAAUAAUGGAAACCCAACUUUUAAUUAGAAACCUCUAAUUUUAAAGUUUAAUAGGUAACACCCCGAAUUUUGGCCCUAGAAGAAAUAUGUUUUGAACAAGGGAACAGUUAGGAGACUGCACAUAAAUAUUUAGUUGUGCAAGGAAGUGACAUAAAUGAAUGUCUACUUCAGUGGUUGAGUGAUUUAGGAGUGUUUGGAACUGUCUGAGAAGUCAGGGAUUCAAGCAUUGCUUAUGCAAAAUUUUUAUUUUAAGUGAAUAAAAUCAUUGGAUCUAGAUAGUAAGUUCUUAAAUUAUUGUGGUUAAAAUAUGAUGCAAAAGAGUUGUUGGUCUAGUGGUAAGGGGUGUGUGGAGUGCACAUAGGGCCUAAGGUUCGAGUGGUGGCGCAUCAGAAAGGAAAUAUUUAUUUUGCUACUUGAGCUGUUUAGGUAGUGGAGUUGGACUGAAACACAACUAAGGGGAGUUUGCAUAGAAUUUGAAUGGAGUUGUUGGGGGAGUUGAGGAGAAACCGGUAGAAUAAUUUAAGGAGGGAUAAGGGGAGAGAUUUUAGGAGAAAAUCAAGGGAAGUGAGGGGAGUGAAGAAGUGUGCCGAAAGUGGACUUUGAUACUCAGGAAAUUUGGCCAGAAGGGAUACUGCUCAUUUUGGUAUACUUUUCAUUUCGGUUUUGUGUAGUGUUUCUCUCUCUUUUUGCUUUUUGGUGCCGAAUUUUUGCUAAGAUUUCGAGUACCACUCGGGUUUUUCUUUUGCUGCUUUUUUCUUUUAUCAUUUCUUUUGUUUUGGCCGAAUUUCUUUUUAGUUCCCUCCUUUGUCGAAUUCUUUUCUCUCUUCUCUUUGUUGCUUCUUUUCAUUUCUCUAUUUUUCCAAACCUUGACCGAACAGUGUUGAAGUAGUUCUGUGUUCCAUCUUUUGUCUAAAAUGCUCUUCUUCCUCUACUCCUUUUGAUCAACUAUUUGUCGAAUAUUGCCUUCUCUCCCCUUUUAUCUCUUUAAAUUUAUUUUCGGCUUGACAACAAUUCUCUAACAGUUCAAAUUUCUUGAGGAGUGAAAAAGUAUCGCAUAAUAUUAAAGUCAUCGAAACCUUUCUCUCAUCACUCGAUCAAAGGUAAGUAUGUAGGCUAGCAUUCUAAAGUGUAGGCUGAGUGCUUUCUAUGGUUUCAUAAGUUAUUAUGUUUGGAUUUAAACCACAUGAAUAAACAAUCCUAUUUAAUAAAAUCCGUUUGUAAUGCAGAUAUCCAUCAAAGAGAUUGUAGUCAACCUUCGUCAGUGAUAUAAGUAGGCUAAGUCACAUUUGACAAUCGAGGCUUUGGUGCUCGUGGAUCUUAGAGUGUUUUCACAAUCAGGUGUGUAAACACCCCACUGUAACCGUAGAACGACAAAAAGCUAAAAGGCCAAAAAUACGGUGUUUGAGACCACACAGGCGUGCGAUCUCUCAUGUGGUAAGCCCAACCCACAAAUCAUGGCCGAUAGACUGUAGAGGCCUCCAUGAACAUUUCCAUGGGCUUAGGCCGUAAUGGGCCACGUUGGGCCGAAAUGGGUCGUGUGGGUUCAAUAGGCUCGUGGGCACCAUACAGAUGAGAACCACGAUUUGUGAAAAAUACUGGACUGGGCUAUGAAGAUCUCAUAGCCGUGGAAAAAUCUGGGCUGAACAGGCCGCACAAGCGUGCGGGCCUACUUGGGCCGAGUAAUGGGCCUUAGGCCCAUUUGUACCAUUAUGACCAUUUAGGUUACCUGAGUCGCUCGAGGUAACUACGGACCUUUCGAGAGGUCGAUAUCUGCACCAAGACCCAAAAUAGGUAAAAUGAUCGAAAUACCCCUAUAGAGUAAAAUGACCGAAAUACCCCCAAAGGAUAAAAUGAUUGAAAUACCCCUAUAAGGUAAAACGAUCGAAAUACCCCCGUAGGAUAAAAUAACUAUUAUACCCCUAGAAGAUGAAAUGACUGUUAUGGCCUUAUGCUAUGUAUGACUGUUUUGCUCUAUGAUAUGUAUGACUAUGGUUGAGCAUGACAUUUUUCAUACACGUAUGAUAUUAUGUCAUGAUAUAUUGCAUGGGGAUGGAUUGUUAUAUUUGGAGGAAGUGUACUGUACUGACAAGGUUGCACGGGUCGCCCAAGACGACUGUGGACCUACUGAUGGCUAUAUGCCAUUUAUUUUACUGGCAGCUUUGCUGCAAUACUGUUUAAUGCUGCAACUGGUGCUAAUCUUGGUGUGUUUGGAUGGAUGGGUAGAUUUUAUCCCCCAUAUGGUGUGUUUGGCGGAACUGUAACACCCUUAACCUGAAUCCAUUCUGACAUUGUCUCACAAAAUUUAUUAUAUCUCAUAGUUUACAAUUUUAUUACUUACACCAUUUCUUCCAUGAGAAACUAGACUCAAUAAGUUUUAAUUCUAUAUUUUAUUCAUACUCUAAUUCGAUUUUCAUAAUUUAUGGUGAUUUUUCAAAGUGAGCCUACUGUUGUUGUCCAAAACUAUUUUAGUACAAGAUGUUUAUUACCAUGUUUAUAACACCCUUAUUUUCUUUCUCUACACUAUUUCUCAUCCCUUUCUCUUAUUUUCUCUUCACUUACAUAUUAAGAACAUAGGACCAUAUAUACAAAAAAACUUUACACUAACAUCAUUUCCAUACUUUUUCAAUAAUAUCAAACUUAAAAAUAUACUAAAAUCUUGAUGUACUUACCUUGUCAUAUUGAUUUUAAUCUUUAACUUGAUUUUCUCUCUCCUCCAGCUUCUAUUUCUUGAAUCUAACUUGAUAUUAUAGCUCCCCAUAGUCUCCUUGUAAUCUUUCUCUCUUGAUGGAUAUGGAAAUUCUUUUGAUUUCUAGAUGAAAAUAGUGAAUUUUUGGUGAAAGGACUAAAUUGUAAAGAAAGCAAAACUUUCUUUCUUCUCUUCUCCUCUUAACGUGAAUUGCAUGGAAAAGAUGGUGGGUUGGUUCCUUUUCAUCUUUCUUUCCACAUAUAUAUACUAAAUAAUAAAAUAAUAAAAUAUCAUUUAAAAAUCAAAUUAAAAUACUAAUAAACUAAUAUUUAUUUGUUUAUUUAAUCUAAAAUAUCUCCAACAUCAUCAUUAUCUUCUAGAUUUCUCUCUCUUCUAAUUGACCAUUUUGCCCUUCAUGAUAUUUUAAAAUUCCAUCCUUGAGUCAUCACUUAAUUUCGUAAAAUUUCAAUUUAGUCCCUCAAAAUUCCUCACCUUUUUUCAAUUUAGUCCUAAUACAUCCAUUUUCCUUAGUUUCUAGAUCAUUCCACCCUUAAAAUAUUUACACCAUUGGUCCUUCAAUUUUUUCAUAUUUACACUUUAACCCCUCAAUUUUUGAGUAUUUACUCUUGGGCAACAAAAUUUUUACGAUUUAAUCCUUUCUUGAGGUAAUAUGUCAUAAUAUACUUCCCAAUGUUGACAUAACUCCAAAAUUCCCUUUUUUGUCGCUUUAUUUCCUUAUUUUUUUAUAUCAAAGAUAAUAUCUUACUGUAAAAAUUUUUUUGGGGGGUAUUACAUUUCUCUCCCCCUCAAAAUAAAUUUCGUCCUCGAAAUUUCCUUAUUUUCUUUUGAUCAUGAACUUAUUUUUUCUUUAAUUCUAUAGUUCAUUUUUUUUGCAUAUAUUUACUUAGCUUAUCAUUUGUGUCUAUUCUUUAUUCUUUCAUUUCACAAUUUAUUUUUAAUUUAAUAUUUCAAACAUGAAUCAGAGAUAAACUUUUACCUUGUAACUAAAAUUAUUUACCUUUUUACCUGAGGCCCAGUGGACUAAAUAGAACACGUAGGAUAUAUGAAAUUGAUACAGAAGUGCUCUGUUAUACAUCAUUAAACAGAGAGCACUAAAGUGUUAUACGGGAGCAUAAAUGUGCUAAUAAUUGGAGAGCACUAGCGUGCUAUUAAUCAGAGAGUGCGCUAAGGUUCCUUAAUGAUAUACUACUAAUAUCCUAAUAGUUCUAAUCUCAUCUACUUGGGCAAAUUAUAUCAUGCAUGCAUACGACUUUUACACUUUGCGCAUAAUGCUUUUACAUACUUUACAAUUUAAACCUUGUACCAAUGAUUCGUAUAUUUAUACCUUCUCUACCUUUAAUACAUGUAAUAUAUUUCAAAAUUCACUAAUAAUCCAUAUAUAUCAUGUACUUCAUAUAUCAUUUUUACAUAUUAUGCAAUUUAGUCAUCAGCGCAAUAUUUCUUGUAGCAAUAUGUUUUUCUUUUAAUGACACAUAUAACAUUCAUCAUCGACAUGUAUUAUAAAACAUUUAUUCAUACUUUCAUGAGUUCCAAUUCAUCCUAAUCAAUUUUUUUUACUCAUAUACUUGAGUAUCACUUUCAACAUUAUCAGAAUUAGCUCGGUUAGGAAAACAUCUCUGUUUAUAAGUAAAACAAUUCUCAUCAGACUCGAGAGAUAUCACACUAUCACAGGUUACAUAAUGGCAUGCAUUUCUAGACUUCACAUAAGCUACGUUUGGUCCAAGAACCGACUAAAUCGUAGCUCUGAUACCAAUAAAUGUAACACUCUUAACCCGAAUCCAUUCUGACAUUGUCUCACAAAAUUUAUUAUAUCUCAUAGUUUACAAUUCUAUUACUUACACCAUUUCUUCCAUGAGAAACUAGACUCAAUAAGCUUUAAUUCUAUAUUUUAUUCAUACUCUAAUUCGAUUUUCAUAAUUUAUGGUGAUUUUUCAAAGUGAGCCUACUGUUGCUGUCCAAAACUAUUUUAGUACAAGAUGUUUAUUACCAUGUUUAUAACACCCUUAUUUUCUUUCGCUACACUAUUUCUCAUCCCUUUCUCUUAUUUUCUGUUCACUAACGUAUUAAGAACAUAGGACCAUAUAUACAAAAACUUUACAUUAACAUCAUUUCCAUACUUUUUCAAUAAUAUCAAACUUAAAAAUAUACUAAAAUCUUGAUGUACUUACCUUGUCAUAUUGAUUUCAAUCUUUAACUUGAUUUUCUCUCUCCUCCAGCUUCUAUUUCUUGAAUCUAACUUGAUAUUAUAGCUCCCCAUAGUCUCCUUGUAAUCUUUCUCUCUUGAUGGAUAUGGAAAUUCUUUUGAUUUCUAGAUGAAAAUAGUGAAUUUUUGGUGGAAGGACUAAAUUGUAAAGAAAGCAAAACUUUCUUUCUUUUCUCCUCUUAACGUGAAUUGCAUGGAAAAGAUGGUAGGUUGGUUCCUUUUCAUCUUUCUUUCCACAUAUAUAUACUAAAUAAUAAAAUAAUAAAAUAUCAUUUAAAAAUCAAAUUAAAAUACUAAUAAACUAAUAUUUAUUUAUUUAUUUAAUCUAAAAUAUCUCCAACAUCAUCAUUAUCUUCUAGAUUUCUCUCUCUUCUAAUUGACCAUUUUGCCCUUCAUGAUAUUUUAAAAUUCCAUCCUUGAGUCAUCACUUAAUUUCGUAAAAUUGCAAUUUAGUCCCUCAAAAUUCUUCACCUUUUUUCAAUUUAGUCCUAAUACAUCCAUUUUCCUUAGUUUCUAUAUCAUCCCACCCUUAAAGUAUUUACACCAUUGGUCCUUCAACUUUUUCAUAUUUACACUUUAACCCCUCAAUUUUUGAGUAUUUACUCUUGGGCAACAAAAUUUUUACGAUUUAAUCAUUUCUUGAGGUAAUAUGUCAUAAUAUACUUCCCAAUGUUGACAUAACUCCAAAAUUUCCCUUUUUGUCGCUUUAUUUCCUUAUUUUUUUAUAUCAAAGAUAAUAUCUUAGUGUAAAAAAAAAUUUUUUGGGUAUUACAGGAACAGAGUGGUGUGUAGAGGCUGGAUUGGGUAGGAUUUCUAACUGCAUAUCUACACUAAUUAAUGAUUUUGUAUUGUUACUACAUCGAUUAAUGAUAUUACAUACUGUUUACUGCAUGACUGAUAUUUGUUGCUGUUAUGGGCCAAGGCCCCACUGAUACUAUUACUGAAAUUGGGCAAAUGCCCUAUUGAUUAUUGGUAUUGUGAUGGGCUCAAGCCCAAUCGUUUAAUGUUACGGGAAAGGGCUUAGGCCCACACUGAACUGGACUGUUACUAUAACAGGCUCAGGCCCAAACUGUAUUUAUCUAUUGUUUAAUUGACUACUUACUUGUUAGGGGAUUGCACACUGAGUUUUCGUAAACUCAACCCGUUGUUUAACUGUACAGGUAAUCCCUAGUUGUAGUAGGGUCAGUGCUGCGAGGGACUCGAUGAUGGCCACACAACUGCAUCAGCUUUUGUUUUUAGCCUUUGAUUUAUAAGAAACUGAAUUUGGGUAUUUUUAUGUAAAAAGGCCUCUUUAAAGUUAUAAACUUUAAAUUGGGGUUUUUAUUUAUUUAGUUUGAUAUAAACUACUAGUUGUAGAAAAAGACGGGUUUUCAAAAGGUAAAUGUUUUCAAAGUUUCAAAAGGUAAAUGUUUUCAAAGACACCACGUUUUCGCAACAUUUCUAAAAAAAAACUUCCGCAAUGAAUGAGAUUUUGGAAAAUUUAUAACGUUUUAAAAGUGAUUAGCUUUUAAUGAUGCAUGCUUGGAAAUGAACAACCCGUUUUGGAAUCAUAGUUUAACAGCAAAAUGAUUAAUUGAUUUUAAAGAUUUCAACGACAACAAGUUUUACGCUAAACACCUUAAAGUGACACCGCCAGAUUCAACCAUAACUCCUAGGCCGGGUUUGGGGUGUUACAAUGUGUUUCAACCCUAUUAUUAGAAACUGAUACCCUAUUAUUAGAAACUGAUAAUGGAAACACAACUUUUAAUUAGAAACCUCUAAUUUUAAAAUUCAAUAGGUAAAAGCAAGUUAUCGUUAAGUGCCUGUGAUACGCUAGUAAAACUCAUUCUAGAAAAAAAAGUUUAAUGGAAACAAUUGUUAUCCAUUGCGUAUAGAGGAUGAAUUUGAAUACUAUUAAUUAAGUUCAUUGUUUAUUGUUUAAAUGUCUAAAGUAAGGGAGACAUUAAAAGAACUCUACCUUUAUAAACAUAAGAAGUGGUGCCACUUCAACAAGUAAAGGUAGGGUCUCUCUUGUAAAUGUUUAUUAUGAACAAGAUAAGCACAUGAUCAUUUUAGUGCUAAAAGUGAACAACCUCUGAUAGAAAUAUAAACGAAUAUUAUGUAUAGUGUAUUUCAACUUCUAAUACUAGGAGUUGUGGUUCAAUCUUCGGACACCGACAACUUAUUAAAACUUUGAAAAGCAUCCGCUUAUUGAUGGUUCAUAUUGAGAGGUAUCAUCUUUAAUGCAUAAUAUUUGUUUGAGUGAAUGACCAUAAAGUAUGGUACCAACAUUUAAACUAAGGGUGAUUGUUAGUAGUUUAUAAUUUUGGCAGUAAAAAUAUUUUAUUAUGUAGAAAAGUCUAAUAAAUUAUAAUUAUUGGUCAAAUAGUUGUGUUGUAAAGACAAUUUUUGUAUGUAAAGUUGUCUUAUAAACUUUAUGUAAAGUUGUGUUGUAAAACAACAAAAUUAUAUGAAAAUGUAUCUUAUUAAAAGAUACAUCCAUAUGAAAGGGUAUCUCAUGAAAAGAUACACCUAUUAGAUGUCUAUAUAAAAGAUUUUUCUGUUAGUUAUUUAAAUUGUUUUGCUUGGAGUGUUGAGGGCUUUGUUGUAUCUUGAAGGUAUUUUAAAAUCUUAAAGAAAGUGCUCUACACACCUUAAAGUCAUUAUAUUUUAUAACAUUAUUUUAUUUUUCUAACUUUUAUUUUCCUAUUAUUUAUUUUUCUAACAGCUAGAAUAUAGGAAAAUUAUUAUGUUUCUAGCUAUAUAUUGAAUACAAGUAUGUUGGUGUUUAGAACUCGAACUUUGAUGGUUGAUCGAGAGAUUUGAAGCAGAAAGAAGAGACGGGAAGUUUUAAGUAGAAAAAUAAUUGAAGACUGGAAUAUAUAAUUGAUUUGCACCUCAACUAUUUAAAUACAAAAGUUCAAGCUAAAAAUAGAAAAAAAAAGUUCUAAAAAUCUGCUAAAAAUCUGGUAACAAAAUAGCAAACAAAUCAAAAAUCUAAUCUCCUAAAGUCAAGGAGAAUUAUUCAAACUUAGUAACAGAAAAAAUUUAAAUGGCAGCAAUCUUAAACACAUGAUCUUAACACUCCUCCUUGUUUAGAUGCUACAAACUCCAAGUUUCUUCCUGAAGCUUUCAAACUUGCUAAGUGGCAAUGGUUUGGUGAAGAUAUCUGCAAUUUGAUCUUCAGAUUUGUAGUAACAAAGAGACACAUCACCACUCUUUUAAACUUCUCGAACAAAAAAUAACUUGAUGUUAAAAUGCUUAGUCUUCCCAUGAAAGACUGGAUUGUUAGAGAUUGCAAUGGCAGCCUGGUUAUCAACUAGAAUCUUUGUGCUUUGCUUCUACUCCAUGUUUAGAUCAACAAGAAUCUUCCUUAACCAGAGAGCUUGGUUAACUGUUGCUGUUGCAGCCAUAAAUUCUGCCUCAACAGUGGAUUGAGCUACAGUUUCUUGCUUCUUCGAGCUCCAAGAGAACAUGCCUGAUCCAAGGCAAAAACAAUAACCAGAGGUACUCUUCAUAUCAUCAGUUAAGCCACCCCAAUCACUGUUAGAGAAACCAAUCAACUUCAAUUCCCUAUGCUUUAAAAACUUUACUCCAUAAUUCCAGGUCCCCUUGAUGUAUCUGAUAACUCUUUUUGCAGCUCUCAUGUGAGUCUCAUUGGGACAAUGCAUGAAUCUGGAGAGAAUACUUACAGCAUUCAAGAUGUCGAGUCUGGUUGUUGUUAAGUACAUUAGACAACCUACCAAACUCCUGAACUCAGCUUCAAUGACUUUGGCAGAACCAUCAUCUUUGAUUAGCUUCUCUUUUUGAUUCAUAGGAGUACUCAUUGCUUUGCAAUCUUCCAUAUGGAAUUUUCUAAGUAUCUCCUUUGCAUACUUUCUUUGACAGAUGAACACUUCAUCUUGGCUUUAUUUGAUCUCAAUGCCAAGGAAAUAAGACAUCAGAUCAAGGUCUGUCAUUUCGAAGACAUUAUGCAUUUCCAAUUUAAACUGAUUAACUUGAUCGAUAUUGCUCCUUGUAAUCAAUAAGUACAAAUAAGCAAGCUUUUUCCUUUGAUUUCCUUAUCUUCUUUUCUUUUUGUGCUUUAAUCUGUGCCACAGUAGGAUUUGCUGGAAGAGGUGGGACCUCGUAAUCCUCUUCUACAGGUUCCCAAAGAUCCAAAGCCUCUAUGUAAGUCUCCAUGCGAACUGCCUACAUCUGGUAAUUGUCUCCAUCGAAGACUGGUGGUGCAGCAACUGAAAAACUGGACCCUCCUUCCAUAUUAACACGCAAAUAACCUAACAAAUCCCUCAAGAAAAUAGCUCUGAUACCAAUUUGUUGGUGUUUAGAACUCGAACUUUGAUGGUUGAUCGAGAGAUUUGAAGCAGAAAGAAGAGACGGGAAGUUUUAAGUAGAAAAAUAAUUGAAGACUGGAAUAUAUAAUUGAUUUGCACCUCAACUAUUUAAAUACAAAAGUUCAAGCUAAAAAUAGAAAAAAAAUGUUUUAAAAAUCUGCUAAAAAUCUGGUAACAAAAUAGCAAACAAAUAAAAAAUCUAAUCUCCUAAAAUCAAGAAGAAUUAUUCAAACUUAGUAACAGAAAAAAUUUAAAUGGCAGCAAUCUUAAACCCAUGAUCUUAACAAAGUACUACUUGGAAGCCAACACCCACAAACAUGAUAAAAGUUAAUUUUGAUGAGAGUUUUGACAUGGAAGCAAGAAAUGAGGAAGAGGGUAGUUAUGCAGCAUUGUGAUGAUUUUUUAGUCUGACUAUGCAACCAUCCAAUUUAGGGUGCAUUCUCCAUUGUGGUGAAAAAGCACUUAAAGAACAUUUGGUUUUUGCACUUAAAAUGUGAUGGAAAAAUGUUUUUCCACCCAAAUACAAAAACUAGGAUAUAAAUGUUUUUGACUUUUAGCUUUUAUGUUUGGAAGUGAAAAUUAUCAAAAUAUCAUUAUUUAUAUUAACUAUUUAAAUGGUAUAUAAAAAUUAGAUUAAUUUAUAUUUUAUAUAUCAUUAUAUUAAAUUAUUUAAAUAUUAUUUAUUAUUAUAUAUUUUAAUAAUUUAUAUAUCAUCUAUUUUACAAAUAAUUUAUAUUAAUUACUUAAAAAAUAUUUGGAACUUAUAUUUCAUGUAUCAUUAUAUUAAAUUAUUUAAAUAUCACAUAAUUUAACUAAUUUUUUACUUUCCACUAUCAUGUCUAAAGAAAAGGAUAUUUUAACUUUUAACAAGAAUUUUUUGUAGCAAUGGAGAACACCAAAAAUUAAUAAACACACUUUUUCAUAGUAAUUUUCAACCACACUUUUCAACCGCAACCCUAAUGAAGAAUUAAUCCUUACUAAAGUUACCGAAGCACUAGCUUCCACCGUAGCCAUUGAAAUGGCGCUCCAAUUGGGAUUGCAACACAUUAUUAUUAAAGGAGAUGCUCUCCAAGUGGUUUCGGAGUUGAAGGAAGACAAAGGAGACCUACCAACAACCGGACCUUGAUAGCAAAGAGUUGAAUACUUGCUAAACAGGUUCAGCAAUGUAGGUUUCAACACAGGAAGAGGCAUGCUAAUGAGGUGGCACAUCAUCUGACCAAACAGGGCCUUAAUUGUUUUCCAUCUUUUGUUCAUAUGUUUGUUUUGAAAAGGUAAAACAAAUCCUCACCUAUUGAUGUUAGAACGGUUGAAUUGCUAAAAGCAUGCUGCAUGCAUAACCAUGCUUUAGGUUAGGCUUCAAAUUAAAUAAAUUUUAAAUUAUUUUUAUUUAAAUUUAAUUAUAAAAAUAAAUUAAUAUCAAUAGAAAAUUAUAUAAAAUUUUAAGAUAUUUUAUUUUUCAAUAAUAAAACGAAUCAUUCACCAAACCUAAUUCUUCAAUUUCUUUUUAAUUAGAUCACAACUCAAGCCAAGCUAACCAAUAAACACCCAAAAUCUACCAUCAUUUUCAUUUUCAUUUUUUUUUCUUUUGUGACAAAGUAGACAGAAGAUUCGGUUUGGAUAAGCUCUACGUUAUUAAGUCAAAAGCUGAAGUAAUUUUAAUCAUAAAUUGUUUUAUUUGUCUAUAAUGCAAAACAAUGACCCAGUUAGUACAAUAAAGCUUUAACUUUGUGGAACAUUUCAGUCCAAAAAAAAAAAAAAAAAGAAUUGUGGAAAUUUUAGAGCAGUUGACCAUUUCUUCGGAAUUAGUUUUCUCACUUCUUGUCCAUAUUCCAUGUAUAUUAUUUCAAGAAAUUAGGUUUAGAAAUUUGCAUAAUUCAACCAUUGAACUAAUAAAUAUUAAACAAAAAUUGGGUGGCAAAAAAAAUCUUAUUAAAAUCAUAUACUAUUACUAAAAUUUAUGAUUAAAUUAGUGUCACGAGUUAACGGGACAUUAACAAAUUAUAUUAUUUGAGGGUAUUUUAAUCUUUUUAUUAAAAAAGAUGAUGUCUCAAAUUAACUCACAAUCUAAUCUAAUUUUUCAUUUUAAUAUUGUAAAUAUUUCAUGUUUUAUUAUUAAUUUGUUUCAAAUUAUACAUUUCAUUAUUUAUUUUAUGUUAUUUUUAAACACAUCUGUAUUCUAAGUACCUAAUUUUCACUUAUGGGUAUCAGAGGCGAAUCUAGGGAGGCUGAUAGGGGUCUCGGUCCCCUUAAAAUAGAAAAUUAUUAUUUAAGCCAUUUAGAAAAUUUUAAAAUUUUAAAUUAGUAAAUGUAAAAUUACACUUUGACCCCUCUAAAAUUAUAAAAAUUUGAUUUAAUCCUUUAAAAAUUAUAAAGAUAUAAACUAUUAAAAAUAAAAAUUUCAUUUCGGCCCUGCCUAAAAAAUUUUUUUGACUUCACCCCUAAAGUAUGAUAGAGUUUCUAGUAUGAAUAAUUUUCUUUGGAAGUGUUAAACAAACAAAGGAGUUAAGUAAACAGUAGUUUUCAUACAGAAAUAUUCGGCGUUGAUGUUUCCCUUUCGAAUAAUUAAAUUAAGACUUAGGAAAAGGGAAAACAAUGAAAAAGAAACUAAAAUUGAGCUUAAUUUAUGGAGUUGGGUUAAAAUUUUAAUAUUUAAAUAUAAAAAUUCUAAUAAUUUGAUCUGGUCCGUUUCAUCUAGCAGACUAAUAAUAAAUCUUAAAACAUAUUAUAUUUUAAUUUAAAUAAAACCAAAACUAAUACACUUGACCUACAUCUACAUGUGAUCUAUGCUUCAUUUAAAUUAGUCUAAAUUAGACGAGAUCUUGAUUAGGAGUCAUUUAUUUAUAUUAUAAGUCCCUGAAACAUGCAAAACUUACAUUUAAAAAUUAAUAUUUUUACGUUGUUGUUAGAAUAUAGGGUUUGUUAAUGUUUUCGUGUGAAGUCAGCUGUUGACAUUACCAAUCAGAUAAUGAAAAGGAAACAUGGCAAUUAUUCCAUCCUAAUUGUCACCAAAUUAAGUUAAUCCAAAAAUUACCAAACGUUUAGUACUUCAAUGGUAGAGUCAGCUCUUUCUUCUAGUCUAUCAAAAAAAGUCAAUUUAACCCCUAACUCUUGGAUGGAAAAGUUUUUGCUAUGAACUUGUUGAAGUGAAUCUCAUGUGAUAUAAACGCAUCGCAAUCUCCGUGUGUAACUAAAAAUAUUUGAGAGAUUGAAUAAUUUAAAGGGGAAAAAAAAAGAAUUUACUCCCUCCACUAACAAAUUACUCUUGCCAACGUAUGUAUGAAAGUAAACACCUUUAAUUAAUCAACAAAUGCUAAAGUUCGAGGUUUAGAAUUAAUUAAAUACCAAUAUAAAUAGUUAAUUACUUUUUUGAAAUAAGGAUAAAUCAGUUUGUGAGGUUUGAAUUUUUUGUAUCUUAACAAUUGUUCUGACUUUAGAGUUUGAAGGUUUUUUUUUUAUCCAAAUUAACCUAUGAACUUAGUAAUUUGUCUCUCAUUAAGGUUUAAAUUUUUUAUUUAUCUAAGUUAAUUCUUAAAAAUCUUGAAAUUCGAGAAUAAUUGUCAAGUUAAAAAAAUUUAGAUUUCAAUAUGAGAAUAAUCUACUAGUUCGUAACCUUAAUAUAAAAACAAUUGUUAAGUUGAAAACUUAAUUUAAAAACAAAUUCAAACCCUUCUUAAGUUUACGAUUUAACCCUUUGAAAUAUUGCGUUAACUAGUAAGAGUAAGAAUUAUUUUGUGUUGAUGAUUAAAUAAAUAUUUAAGUGGAGAUCAAGUUUUACCUCAUUUGUCAAUUGUCAGGUGAAGAAUAUAUACCCCUAAAGGCCUAUCAAAAACGGACCUAUCUCUAUCUAUAUAUCUUAACUAAUUUACUAUUCAUUUUUAAUGAAAAUCAAUAAAUCAAUGAAAACGUUAUAAAAAGAAAACUACGUGAAUAAAUUAUAUGUGUAAAAUUGAAAUAUUUCUUAUUUUAGUACAAUGGUAAGGAACAUUACAUUUUUAAGGAAAUGAUGUCAGGUUCAAACCUUAAAGAUAAUAUUCUUCUUCUUGAGAAGAACAAUCCCAAACUCCAAAAUGAACCCUUAUGAAUUAUAUAAAAAAAUUUUGAAAUAUUUCUAUAAAAUAUCAUUAAAGUUUUUUAUUUAAAAAAUGUUAUGGGUAUACUUUUACCUCUUGUAAAAAAGUCUUUCAUUUCUCAAUUCUUAUGGCAUAGUAAAUUUAUCAUUAAUUUUCAUCUUUAGGUAAAAAAAAUGGUUAUUAUUUGUGUAUUAAAUAAUUGUUAGGAUAAAUUUUAAAAUUGUAUAUGAAUUUUGGUUUAAUGUUAAUUAUAUACAUUAAUUUUAAUUUUAUGUAAUUUUAUAAAUGAAAUUUUAAUUUGAUCCAAUUCUAACAAAUUAUUAACACAGUUAUUGAUAUAACAUCAUUUUAUGUUUAUAUGCUAUAUACAGAAAUAAUUAUGUUUAUUCAAUAUAAAAAUAAAUUGAUGUAUUUAUUUCUUUAAACAUAUAUGAUUGAAUCAAAAUUAAAACAUCGUGUAUAUAUUUGAACCACAAUUAAAAUUUUACAUAUAAAAUUACAUAAAAUUACAAUUUAUAUACGUAAUAAACUAAAAUUCAUAUAUAAUUUUAAGAUUUAUGUCCACAAUUCUCUAAAGCUAAACGGUGAUGAUUACCAUGGAAAUUCAAUGUACUUAACUAAUUGGUUGAUAGGAACAGGCAUGAUGAAAUCCAUGAUGGGAAGAGAGAGAAUUCAAAAACUGGAAUGCCCCCAUUAAUCCAUGCAAAUAAACUUUUUCGGUAUUACAUCAUAAUUCAUUUAAUUUUAUCAUCAUCUCUAUGCCAUAACCAUGUUUAAAGUAAAAUACUUAUAUAAAUUGAGACAUUAAUAGUUUGUAUUAUAUAAAUUAUGACAUCCAUAUAUCCAUAUUAUAAUUUUUAUGAAAAAUUAGAGCUGGCAGAUAAAAAAUGGCUUACUGAUCAAUGAAAAAUAAACUUUAUUUCUUGUAAAUUGACUUAUCCUUUUAAAAAGUAUAAAUAUUUUUUUAAAAUUCAUUUAUGAGUAAUUUUAUUAUUAUAAAAAUUAAUUUUGCAAAGUCUAAUAUUAUUAUAUUAAUAAUUUUAUUUUAAAACUAUUUAAAAAUACUAAUAUCAAAUAUUAUAAUGUUGAAUCCUAGUAACAUACAUAUUAAAUUAUUUAAAUUAUGUAAUAUUGCAAUUUUAUUUUAAUACUAAAUUUUAACAACAAUAAUUUUAAAUUUUAGAUCAUAUUUUUAAUAUAUUAUUGAAAAAUAUUUAUAUUAAUAUUUUAAUAAUAAAUAUAUAUAUUAAAAUUUAUAAAUAUUUAAUAAUAAAUGUUUUAUAGUAUAAAAUAUGAAUAUUUUAAUUAUAUAGAUAUGAGCAUUUGUUUAAAUCAUGUUUAGUUUCAUUUAUCUCCCAACUAUAAUGUGUUAUUAUACACCGUCAUAUAUAUAAUAUAUGUAAUUUAAGCAUUGUUUAUUAUUAAAUUUAUAUAUGAUAUUAAUUAUUAUAAAAUAUUAUCUUAUUAUAAAAGAAAUUCUAAUUAUCAAAAAGAAAUGUUACUUUAAUAUUUUGUAACAAGUAUAUUUAUGUUGGGCUUGUUUCAAUAAUAACUUUAAAAUGAUUUUAGAAAAAAAAUUGUCAAAUAAUAAAAAAAUAUUUUAAGCAAAAUAAUUCAAACACAAAAAACUAUCAACUUUUCCAUAAAAUCAAUCCAAUUUUAAGAAAACAUUUUGUGAAAAUUGUUUUAGGUAAAACAAAAGGAACCUAUAUUUUAUAUAGUAUUUGAAAAGUUGUUGUAUCUAGAAUUAUUAUCUUAAAUAUUUUUUUAGGUCUAAUUUUAAAUUUCAUCCCUUUAUGAAAAUUGAGAAGUUAAAUUUUCUAUUUUACUUUAUCAGUCUGUGCUUGAUUGUUUAUUAAUUUGUCGUGUAUAAAUGGUUAAAUUAUUGAUUUUUGUUAAUUACUAGCAUGUAAAUUGUCAAACUACUUGUUCUCAAGGGAACGGUAAAGUUUAAUAGUAUUAUCAAUUUAGAACAAUUUUUGAGUUUUUUCUUUUAUUUUUCAUGUUCGAGUCCAUAAUUACUCCUUCUAAUAAUGUCGUCUUUAAAGUUUGAGUUCGAAUUCAAAUUCUCUUUUUGGAAGUACAAUAUGCCUUAUAAUUAUACCUAAUACUUUUGAUUUUUGUAAAAUAUAAGAAUCAAAAUUGUGUAGUAGGAUUAAUUUCUAGAUUUUUUAAAUUUAAAAUUUAUAAUAUUAUCAAUCGCAUCACACACAAAACCAAAGAACAAGAGAAUCUAAAAAACACGUGGACCAUUAAUUUAGGAAUGGACAUUAUAUUUUAUUAGUGGAAUAAACUCAUGCAAAAUGGUUGGAAAACACAUACAGGAUUAUAUAUACUAAUCAUUUUUAUUAUUAAGCAGAAUCGGAAAUAAAUAAAUACGAGCGAAACCACUGAAUAAUACAGCAUUGAAAUGCAAUUUGUCUACAUCAUUAUUGUUCUUCACUUCAAACGCGGAGACUAGUCUAGGCUCCCAAUCUUUUGCUUUAUCUCUCUAGAUAUAUCCUUUUCAAACUAUCUUUUUGUAGCUUUAUUUGCAUCACAGCAUUAUCUUUUCCUGCAAACAACUGUUCAAUGAUUAAAACAUGCAAAACAUUCUGAAAUAAUGCACCCUUACCAGAUGACAAAAAAAAAAAAAGAUUCUAAUGUAUCUUACCUUGGAUUGGAGCACGGUCAAAGCCGUGGCUUAGUAGUGGUGAGGAGGAGGGGGUGAAGCGUAGACAUAAUGGGGUGGUGGUGGUGGAGGAGACUUGUAUUUGUAAACUGGAGGAGGAGGUGGUGGAGACUUGUACUUGUAAGGGUGCUUGGGGGGUGAUGGUGGGGGUGGUGGGGGUGACUUGUACUUGUAGGGGUGCUUGGGUGGUGACGGUGGGGGUGGGGACUUGUACUUGUAAGGAUGCUUGGGGGGUGAUGGUGGUGGUGGUGGAGGUGACUUGUACUUGUAGGGGUGCUUGGGUGGUGACGGUGGGGGUGGGGACUUGUACUUGUAAGGGUGCUUGGGUGGUGACGGUGGUGGUGGUGGGGGGGACUUGUACUUGUAGGGAUGCUUUGGUGGGGAUGGUGGUGGUGGUGGUGGGGACUUGUACUUGUAGGGAUGCUUAGGUGGUGAUGGUGGUGGUGGUGGAGACUUGUAUUUGUAAGGAUGCUUUGGUGGUGAUGGUGGUGGAGGUGGUGGGGACUUGUACUUGUAAGGGUGCUUGGGUGGUGAUGGAGGUGGAGGUGGUGGAGACUUAUACUUGUAAACUGGAGGUGGUGGGGGUGGAGACUUGUACUUGUAAGGGUGCUUGGGUGGUGACGGAGGUGGAGGUGGUGGAGACUUAUACUUGUAAACUGGAGGUGGUGGGGGUGGAGACUUGUACUUGUAAGGGUGCUUGGGUGGUGAUGGUGGGGGUGGGGGUGGCGACUUGUACUUGUAGGGGUGUUUAGGUGGUGAUGGUGGUGGUGGUGGUGGUGGUGGGGACUUGUACUUGUAAGGAUGCUUGGGUGGUGAUGGUGGUGGAGGAGACUUGUACUUGUAAGGAUGCUUGGGUGGUGAUGGUGGUGGAGGUGGUGGAGACUUAUACUUGUAAACAGGAGUUGGUGGGGGAGGAGAUUUGUACUUGUAAGGUUUCUUGUGUGGUGGUGGUGGUGGAGGAGAGUAGAUCGGAGGAGGCGGUGGGGGAGACUUGUAAUGGUAGGGUGGUAGUGGGUUCUUCUUAGGAGGUGGUGGAGGAGAAGAAUAGGUGUAAUCUGCUGAGGUUUCAAAAGGCAAACUGAGAGAAACUGCUAGAACUAAAAGAGUGACAAAGAGAGAGGUCAUUGAUGACCCCAUUUUCCCCAUCUUUACUUCUAAAAAUGGGUUUAAUUUG
rnacentral:lncRNA from 1 species